rnacentral:lncRNA from 1 species
UAAUCAAGAACCUACCCAAAUGGACUAUGACUUGAGGGGUCCAAAUUUUCCUACGUUUGAAGUUGGCAGAACAUCAAACCUCAACCCCAACAAGAAAAGAAAGGCAAAGAUGCAUGCCCAAAGCAAGAGGUCCGACAUUCACAACUUUUGACGAUAUCUUGUUGGUUAAAGCUUGGCUGGCUACACUCAUGGACCCGAUAUGUGACAGAGAGCAAAAGGGCAUUUUGUAUUGGAGAAGAUCCAUAAGCAUUAUCAUGAACAUGUGGAAUAUGCAGAGCCGCAUCCUAUCGUGACCACCCGUAAUGUGGUUCUCUCCAACAUUGAUGGGGGAUCAGUUAAGAGGAAGUGAACAAGUAUGUUGGCUACUAUAAACAAAUGAUUGGCCUCCCUCAAAGCGGGAUGGGAGUGUCAACUCCCAUAAGUUUAAUUGCUUCAUUUGUUAUCAUUUGAAUUGCGUUUUUUUCGCUUUCCAUUGUUAUACUUGUUUGUUAGAUGGUGGUGGCAGCCAUUAUGUAUUAACAAACGGAGAAGAAGCCAUUCCGUUUUGGCCAUUGUUGGGUGCUAUUGGAUGUUAAACCAAAGUGGACACAACUUGUGGAUGAUCUCAAGGCUGGCAAGAUGAAGAAUAAUGGCUUAAACUCCAACCAAUCAAUUGGAUUAGAUGAAUAAAUGGAGAAGUUGUAGGGGAGCAUGGAAAAGCCACCAUGCCAAUGAAUAAUCAGCAACUGAUGGGAAACAAGUGGGAGAAGGGUAGGGCCGCCCAUGACGCCGCGGUGACAAAAAUAUCGACCAGAUGGACGGGCAUUUUUUCCACAAGCGGGAACAAGAAAGAGGAGAGGUACAAGCUCAUGUUGGAUAUGCAAAAAAGAAAAGAUGAAUUGGGACCGAGAGAGGGUAAGCAACAUUUUGCUAAUUGAGAGCAACAAGUUGGCAAUUGAGAGGGAUAAGAUGGAGUUGAAGAAGAAAUAAGGAUGUCUCAAAUGGGAGAUUGGGAAUUCCAAAACCUUUGGAUCAAUAGAGAUCGAGAAUGAGAGGUUGCAACUUGCUCGAGACACGAAGGAUUUGAGAAUAAUGUUGGCGGAAGCAAGCCUCUUGAAUGAGCAAGCAAAGAUAUGUCUUGCCAGGAAGAAGUAGGAGACCAACUAAAGUAGGGACUACGAGGAGGUGAGAGAGGCGAUGGCAACAGCAGAGCUGGUGGCAUGGAUGGAGGUAGAGCAGGAUGCAGAGAUAGCAGCGGUAGAGGAGGCGGUAAGGAUGGCGCCCGAUGAGUGAUUCGGUCGGCGAUUGAUCCAUCACGCUCGGACUUGAAUUUAAUUUUGGCAUGUCUGGAUCAUUGAACUAUGAUUUAUUUUGCAUUGUUGAACUAUUCAAUUGUGAUGAAUUUCUGCUAUGUGAUCCACAUGCAUGGAUUGUAUGGAUUUAAGGGUUUGAAUUUGAAGUGUGUGACUAUCCGGUAGCCCAUAUGAGGGACAGUCCGCGCCAGGGCAUGUCCGCGGAUGUUUAAAGGUCAAAUUUGCAAAUUAUGGCAGUAGAUUCUCUUAGACCCCCGUAAAAGAUGCAAAGAUUUUUCCUAGAACCCAACACGAUCACCCACUCAACCUUGGGGAAGAGUCUAAUUGCACCAGCAACCUCGGCGGCUGAUACGUAUCCAACAUAUCUAUAAUUUUUCGAUUGUCUCAUGCUAUUAUAUUAUCUGUUUUGGAUGUUUUAUAUGCAUUAAUAUGCUAUUUUAUAUGAUUUUUGGGACUAGCCUAUUAACCUAGAGCCCAGUGCCAGUUCUUGUUUUUUCUUCUUAUUUUAGAGUUUCGUAGAAAAGCAGUACCAAACAGAGUCCAAACGGAAUGAAACUUUCGCGAUGAUUUUUCUUGGACCAGAAGACAUUCAGAGAGCUUGGAGUGCACGUCAGGAAAGCCACGAGGCAGACACAAGGUCGGGAGGCGCGCCCCCACCCUUGUGGGCCCCUCGUGACUCCACCGACCUAUUUCUUCCGCCUAUAUAUUCUCAAAUAUCUCAAAACCUUUCAGUGGAGCCACAAAACCACUUUUCCACCACCGCAACCUUCUGUACCCGUGAGAUCCCAUCUAGGGGCCUUUUGCAGCGUCCUGCCGGAGGGGGAUUCAAUCACGGAGGGCUUCUACAUCAACACCAUUGCCUCUUUGAUGAAGUGUGAGUAGUUUACCACAGACCUACGGGUCCAUAGCUGAAGGAAAUAUGCCCUAGAGGCAAUAAUAAAGUUAUUAUUUAUUUCCUUAUUUCAUGAUAAAUGUUUAUUAUUCAUGUUAGAAUUGUAUUAACCGGAAACAUAAUACAUGUGUGAAUACAUAGACAAACAGAGUGUCACUAGUAUGCCUCUACUUGACUAGCUCGUUGAUCAAAGAUGGUUAUGUUUCCUAACCAUAGACAUGAGUUGUCAUUUGAUAAACGGGAUCACAUCAUUAGGAUAAUGAUGUGAUUGACUUGACCCAUUCCGUUAGCUUAGCACUUGAUCAUUUUAGUUUACUGCUAUUGCUUUCUUCAUGACUUAUACAUGUUCCUAUGACUAUGAGAUUAUGCAACUCCCGAUUACCGGAGGAACACUUUGUGUGCUACCAAACGUCACAACGUAACUGGGUGAUUAUAAAGGUGCUCUACAGGUGUCUCCGAUGGUACUUGUUGAGUUGGCAUAGAUCGAGAUUAGGAUUUGUCACUCUGAUUGUCGGAGAGGUAUCUCUCGGCCCUCUCGGUAAUGCACAUCACUAUAAGCCUUGCAAGCAAUGUAACUAAUGAGUUAGUUGCGGGAUGAUGCAUUACGGAACGAGUAAGAGACUUGCCGAUAACGAGAUUGAACUAGGUAUUGAGAUACCGAUGAUCGAAUCUCGGGCAAGUAACAUACCGAUGACAAAGGGAACAAUGUAUGUUGUUACGCGGUUCGACCGAUAAAGAUCUUCGUAGAAUAUGUAGGAGCCAAUAUGGGCAUCCAAGUUCCACUGUUGGUUAUUGACCAGAGAAGUGUCUUGGUCAUGUAUACAUAGUUCUCGAACCCGUAGGGUCCGCACGCUUAACGUUCAUUGAAGAUAUAGUAUUUAUGAGUUAUGUAUGUUGGGAACCGAAUGUUGUUCGGAGUUCCGGAUAAGAUCACGGACAUGACGAGGAACUCCGGAAUGGUGUUUGGUCUACGGAAGGGGUUCCGGAUGUUUCCCGAAAUGUUUGGGUACGAGAACACUUUGUUUGGGCCAAAGGGGGAAAGCCCACAAGGUUUUUGGAAAGCGCGAAAGGAAGUUUUGCGGAGUCGAGGGGCCAGACGCCAGGGUCCCUCGCAUCUGGGUCCAGACUCCGGGAACCCUGGCGUCUGGCCCUGGAGUCCGAGAAGGACUCUUGCCUUUUAGGUGAAACCGACUUUGUGGAGGCUUUUACUCCAAGUUUCGACCCCAAGGCUCAACAUAUAAAUAGAGGGGUAGGGCUAGCACCCAAGACACAUCAAGAAACACCAAGCCGUGUGCCGGCAACCCCGUCCCCUCUAGGUUAUCCUCCGUAAUAGUUUUCGUAGUGCUUAGGCGAAGCCCUGCGGAGAUUGUUCUUCACCAACACCAUCACCACGUCGUCGUGCUGCCGGAACUCAUCUACUACUCCGCCCCUCUUGCUGGAUCAAGAAGGUGAGGACGUCAUCAAGCUAAACGUGUGCUGAAAGCGUAGGUGCCGUACGUUCGGUACUUGAUCAGGACGGAUCGUGAAGGUGUACGACUACAUCAACCGCGUUGAUAAAUGCUUCCGCUUUCGGUCUACGAGGGUACGUAGACAUACUCUCCCCUCUCGUUGCUAUGCAUCAACAUGAUCUUGCGUGUGCGUAGGAUUUUUUUUGAAAUUACUACAUUCCCCAACAGUGGCAUCCGAGCCAGGUUUAUGCGUAGAUGUUACGAGUAGAACACAAGUGAGUUGUGGGCGAUACAAGUCAUACUGCUUACCAGCAUGUCAUACUUUGUUCAGCGGUAUUGUUGGAUGAAGCGGCCCAGACCGACAUUACGUGUAUGCUUACGUGAGACUGGUUCUACCAACGUGCUUUGCACACAGGUGGCUGGCGGGUGUCAGUUUCUCCAACUUUAGUUGAACCGAGUGUGACUACGCCCGGUCCUUGUUGAAGGUUAAAACAACACUAACUUGACGAAAUAUCAUUGUGGUUUUGAUGCAUAGGUAAGAACGGUUCUUGCUCAGCCCGUAGCAGCCACAUAAAACUUGCAACAACAAAGUAGAGGACGUCUAAAUUGUUUUUGCAGGGUAUGUUGUGAUGUGAUAUGGUCAAGGCAUGAUACUAUAUUUUAUUGUAUGAGAUUAUCAUGUUUUGUAACAGAGUUAUCGGCAACAGGCAGGAGCCAUAUGGUUAUCGUUUUAUUGUAUGCAAUGCAAACGCCCUGUAAUUGCUUUACUUUAUCACUAAGCGGUAGCGAUAGUCGUAGAAGCAAUAGUUGGCAAGACGACAACGAUGCUACGAUGGAGAUCAAGGUGUCGCGCCGGUGACGAUGGUGAUCAUGACGGUGCUUUGGAGAUGGAGAUCACAGGCACAAGAUGAUGAUGGCCAUAUCAUAUCACUUAUAUUGAUUGCAUGUGAUGUUUAUCCUUUAUGCAUCUUAUUCUGCUUGAUUGACAAUAGCAUUAUAAGAUGAUCUAUCUCACUCAAUUUCAAGGUACAAGUGUUCUCCCUAAGUAUGCACCGUUGCCAAAGUUCGUCAUGCCGAGACACCACGUGAUGAUCGGGUGUGAUAAGCUCUACGUUCACAUACAACGGGUGCAAGCCAGUUUUGCACACGCAGAAAUACUCGGGUUAAACUUGACGAGCCUAGCAUAUGCAGAUAUGGCCUGGAACACUGAGACCGGAAGGACGAGCAUGAAUCAUAUAGUAGAUAUGAUCAACAUAGUGAUGUUCACCAUUGAAAACUACUCCAUUUCACGUGAUGAUCGGUCAUGGUUCAGUUGAUUUGGAUCACGUAAUCACUUAGAUGAUUAGAGGGAUGUCUAUCAAAGUGGAGUUCUUAAAUAUGAUCAAUUGAACUUUAAUUUAUCAUGAACAUAGUACCUGAUAGUAUUUUGCUUGCCUAUGUUGUUGUAGAUAGAUGGCACGUGUUGUUGUUCCGUUGAAUUUUAAUGCGUUCCUUGAGAAAGCAAAGUUGAAAGAUGAUGGUAGCAAUUACACGGACUGGGUCCGUAACUUGAGGAUUAUCCUCAUUGCUGCACAGAAGAAUUACGUCCUAGAAGCACCGCUAGGUGCCAAACCCAUUGCAGGAGCAACGCCAGAUGUUAUGAACGUCUGGCAGAGCAAAGCUGAUGACUACUCGGUAGUUCAGUGUGCCAUGCUUUACAGCUUAGAACUGGGACUUCAAUGACGUUUUGAACAUCAUGGAGCAUAUGAGAUGUUCCAGGAGCUGAAGUUAAUAUUUCAAGCAAAUGCCCAGAUUGAGAGAUAUGAAGUCUCCAAUAAGUUCUACAGCUACAAGAUGGAGGAGAAUAGUUCUGUCAGUGAACAUAUACUCAGAAUGUCUGGGUACCAUAACCACUUGACUCAACUGAGAGUUAAUCUUCCUGUUGAUAGUGUCAUUGACAGAGUUCUUCAAUCACUGCCACUAGGCUACAAGAGCUUCAUGAUGAACCAUAAUAUGCAAGGGAUGGAUAAGAAGAUUCCCGAGCUCUUCACAAUGCUAAAAGUUGUGGAGGUAGAAAUCAAGAACGAGCAUCAAGUGUUGAUGGUCAACAAGACCACCAAUUUCAAGAAAAAGGGUAAAGGGAAGAAGAAUAUCUGAGUAAUAUCUUUUAUGGUCAUGCACCCUUGAAGAGUGGUCUAUUUUUAAUGAAUCUCGAUAGUAAUGAUACGCAUAUUCAUAAUAUUGAACCUAAAAGAUGCAGAGUUGAUAAUGAUAGUGCAACUUAUUUGUGGCACUGUCGUUUAGGUCAUAUUGGUGUAAAGUGCAUGAAGAAACUCCAUUCUAAUGGACUUUUGGAAUCGCUUGAUUAUGAAUCUCUUGGUACUUGCGAACCGUGCCUCAUGGGCAAGAUGACUAAAACGCCGUUCUCCGGAACUAUGGAGCGAGCAACAGAUUUGUUGGAAAUCAUACAUACUGAUGUAUGUGGUCCGAUGAAUAUUGAGGCUCGCGGUGGGUAUCGUUAUUUUCUUACCUUCACAGAUGAUUUGAGCAGAUAUGGGUAUAUCUACUUGAUGAAACAUAAGUCUGAAACAUUUGAAAGUUCAAAGAAUUUCAGAGUGACGUGCAAAAUCAUCGUAACAAGAAAAUAAAGUUUGUACGAUCUGAUCGUGGAGGAGAAUAUUUGAGUUACGAGUUUGGUCUUCAUUUGAAACAAUGCGGAGUAGUUUCGCAACUCACGCCACCUGGAACACCACAGCGUAAUGGUGUGUCCGAACGUCGUAAUCAUACUUUACUAGAUAUGGUGCGAUCUAUGAUGUCUCUUACUGAUUUACCGCUAUAGUUUUGGGGGUUACGCUUUAGAGACAACUGCAUUCACGUUAAAUAGGGCACCAUCUAAAUCCGUUGAGACGGCGGCUUGUGAACUAUGGUUUGGCAAGAAACCAAAGUUGUCGUUUCUUAAAGUUUGGGGUUGCGAGGCUUAUGUGAAAAAGUUUCAACCUGAUAAACUCGAACCCAAAUCAGAGAAAUGUGUCUUCAUAGGAUACCCAAAGGAGACUGUUGGGUACACCUUCUAUCAUAGAUCCGAAGGCAAGACAUUUGUUGCUAAGAAUGGAUCCUUUCUAGAGAGGGAGUUUCUCUCGAAAGAAGUGAGUGGGAGGAAAGUAGAACUUGAUGAGGUAACUGUACCUACUCCCUUAUUGGAAAGUAGUCCAUCACAGAAACCGGUUCCUGUGACACCUACACCAAUUAGUGAGGAAGCCAAUGAUGAUGAUCAUGAAACUUCAGAUCAAGUUACUACCAAACCUCGUAGGUCAACCAGAGUAAGAUCCGCACUAGAGUGGUACGGUAAUCCUGUUCUGGAGGUCAUGUUACUUGACCAUGACGAACCUACGAACUAUGAUGAAGCGAUGAUGAGCCCAGAUUCGGCAAAAUCGCUUAAGACUGAUACGUCUCCAACGUAUCUAUAAUUUUUUAUUGCUCCAUGCUAUAUUAUCUACUGUUUUGGACAUUAUUGGGCUAUAUUAUCCACUUUUAUAUUAUUUUUGGGACUAACCUAUUAACCGGAGGCCCUGCCCAGAAUUGUUGUUUUUUUUGCCUAUUUUAGGGUUUCGAAGAAAAGGAAUAUCAAACGAAGUCCAAAUGGAAUGAAACCUUCGGGAAUGUGAUUUUCUCACCGAACAUGAUCCAGGAGACCUGGACCCUACGUCAAGAAAUAAAGGAGGAGGCCACAAGGUAGGGGGGCGCGCCUACCCCCCAGGCGCGCCCUCCACCCUUGUGGGCCCCCUGUUGCUCCAGCGAUGUACUCCUUCCUCCUAUAUAUACCUACAUACCCCCAAACGAUCAGAUACGGAGCCAAAACCCUAAUUCCACCGCCGCAACUUUCUGUAUCCACGAGAUCCCAUCUUGCGGCCUAUUCCGAAGCUCCGCCGGAGGGGGUAUCCAUCACGGAGGGCUUCUACAUCAACACCAUAGCCCCUCCGAUGAAGUGUGAGUAGUUCACCUCAGACCUACGGGUCCAUAGUUAUUAGCUAGAUGGCUUCUUCUCUCUUUCUGGAUCUCAAUACAAUGUUCUCCCCGUCUCUUGUGGAGAUCUAUUCGACGUAAUCUUCUUUUUGCGGUGUGUUUGUUGAGACUGAUGAAUUGUGGGUUUAUGAUCAAGUCUAUCUAUCAACAAUAUUUGAAUCUUCUCUGAAUUCUUUUAUGUAUGAUUGGUUAUCUUUGCAAGUCUCUUCGAAUUAUCAGUUUGGUUUGGCCUACUAGAUUGAUCUUUCUUGCAAUGGGAGAAGUGCUUAGCUUUGGGUUCAAUCUUGCGGUGUCCUUUCCCAGUGACAGUAGGGGAAGCAAGGCACGUAUUGUAUUGUUGCCAUCAAGGAUAACAAGAUGGGGUUUUCAUCAUAUUGCAUGAGUUUAUCCCUCUACAUCAUGUCAUCUUGCUUAAGGCGUUACUCUGUUUUCAUGAACUUAAUACUCUAGAUGCAUGCUGGAUAGCGGUCGAUGAGUGGAGUAAUAGUAGUAGAUGUAGGCAGGAGUUGGUCUACUUGUCUUGGACGUGAUGCCUAUAUACAUGAUCAUACCUAGAUAUUCUCAUAACUAUGCUCAAUUCUGUCAAUUGCUCAACAGUAAUUCGUUCACCCACCGUAAAAUACCUAUGCUCUUGAGAGAAGCCACUAGUGAAACCUAUGGCCCCCGGGUCUAUAUUCAUCAUAUUAAUCUUCCAAUACUUAGUUAUUUCCUUCACUUUUAUUUUACUUUGUAUCUUUAUCACAAAAAUACCAAAAAUAGUAUCUUAUCAUAUCUAUCAGAUCUCACUCUCGUAAGUAGCUGUGUAGGGAUUGACAACCCCUUAUCACGUUGGUUGUGAGGAUUUAUUUGUGUUGUGCAGGUGUGAGGGACUCGCGCGUAGCCUCCUACUGGAUUGAUACCUUGGUUCACAAAAACCGAGGGAAAUACUUACGCUACUUUGCUGCAUCAUCCCUUCCUCUUCAGGGAAAACCAACGUAGUGCUCAAGAGGUAGCAAAGACCAUGAAAUCUGAGAUGGGAUCCAUGUAUGAGAACAAAGUGUUGACUUUGGUUGACUUGUCCGAUGAUCAGCAAGCCAUCGAGAAUAAAUGGAUCUUCAAGAAGAAGACUGACGCCGACGGUAACGUUACUGUCUACAAAGCUCGACUUGUUGCGAAAGGUUUUCGACAAGUUCAAGGAGUUGACUAUGAUGAGACCUUCUCACCCGUAGCGAUGCUUAAGUCCAUCUGAAUCAUGUUAGCAAUUGCCGCAUUUUAUGAUUAUGAAAUUUGGCAAAUGGAUGUAAAGACUGCAUUCCUGAAUGGAUUUCUAGAAGAAGAGUUGUAUAUGAUGCAACCUGAAGGUUUUAUCGAUCCAAAUGGUGCUAACAAAGUGUAAAAGCUCUAGUGAUCCAUUUAUGGACUGGUGCAAGCCUCUCGGAGUUGGAAUAAACGUUUUGAUAGUGUGAUCAAAACAUAUGGUUUUAUACAGACUUUCAGAGAAGCCUGUAUUUACAAGAAAGUUAGUGGGAGCUCUGUAGCAUUUCUAAUAUUAUAUGUGGAUGACAUAUUGUUGAUUGGAAAUGAUAUAGAAUUUCUGGAUAGCAUAAAAGGAUACUUGAAUAAGAGUUUUUCAAUAAAAGACCUUGGUGAAGCCGCUUAUAUAUUGGGCAUCAAGAUUUAUAGAGAUAGAUCAAGACGCUUAAUUGGACUUUCACAAAGCACAUACCUUGACAAAGUUUUGAAGAAGUUCAAAAUGGAUCAAGCUAAGAAAGGGUUCUUGCCUGUGUUACAAGGUGUGAAGUUGAGUAAGAAUCAAUGCCCGACCACUGCAGAAGAUAGAGAGAAAAUGAAAAGUGUUCCCUAUGCUUCAGCCAUAGGCUCUAUCAUGUAUGCAAUGCUGUGUACCAGACCUGAUGUGUGCCUUGCUAUUAGUUUAACAGGGAGGUACCAAAGUAAUCCAGGAGUGGAUCACUGGAUAGCGGUCAAGAACAUCCUGAAAUACCUGAAAAGGACUAAGGAUAUGUUUCCCGUUUAUGGAGGUGACAAAGAGCUCGCUGUAAAUGGUUACGUCGAUGCAUGCUUUGACACUGAUCCGGACGAUUCAAAAUCGCAAACCGGAUACGUGUUUAUAUUGAACGGUGGAGCUAUCAGUUGGAGCAGUUCUAAACAAAACGUCGUGGCGGGAUCUACGUGUGAAGCGUGAUACGUCCAUUUUGCGUCAUGCUUUUAUAUCGAUAUUUAUUGCAUUAUGGGCUGUUAUUACACAUUAUGUCACAAUACUUAUGCCUAUUCUCUCUUAUUUUACAAGGUUUACAUAAAGAGGGAGAAUGCUGGCAGCUAGGAUUCUGGGCUGGAAAAGGAGCAAAUAUUAGAGACCUAUUCCGCACAGCUCCAAAAGUCCUGAAACUUCACGGAAGUCAUUUUCAGAAUAUAUAAAAAAUACUGAGCACAAGAAGUUCACCAGGGGGCCACACCAUGCCGACGAGGGUGGGGGCGCGCCCUACCCCCUGGGCGCACCCCCUACCUCGUGGGGCCCCUGGUGGCCCUCCGAUGUCCAUCUUCUGCUAUAUGGAGUCUUUCGAUGAGGAAAAAAUCAUAAGCCAACUUUCCGGAUGAGACUACGCCGCCACGAGGCGGAACCUUGGCGGAAUCAAUCUAGGGCUCUAGCGGAGCUGUUCUGUCGGGGAAACUUCCCUACGGGAGGGGGAAAUCAUCGCCAUCGUCAUCACCAACGAUCCUCUCAUCGGGAGGGGGUCAAUCUCCAUCAACAUCUUCACCAGCACCAUCUCCUCUCAAACCCUAGUUCAUCUCUUGUAUCCAAUUCUUGUCUCCAAGUCUGGGAUUGGUACCUAUGGGUUGCUAGUAGUGUUGAUUACUCCUUGUAGUUGAUGCUAGUUGGUUUAUUUGGUGGAAUAUCAUAUGUUCAGAUCCUAUAUGCAUAUUAAUACCCCUAUGAUUAUGAACAUGAAUAUGCUUUGUGAGUAGUUACGUUUGUUCCUGAGGACAUGGGAGAAGUCUUGCUAUUAGUAGUCAUGUGAAUUUGGUAUUCGUUCGAUAUUUUGAUGAGAUGUAUGUUGUCUCUCCUCUAGUGGUGUUAUGUGAACGUCGACUACAUGACACUUCACCAUUAUUUGGGACUAGAGGAAGGCAUUGGGGAGUAAUAAGUAGAUGAUGGGUUGCUAGAGUGACAAAAGUUUAAACCCUAGUUUAUGCGUUGCUUCGUAAGGGGUUGAUUUGGAUCGACAUGUUUCAUGCUAUGGUUAGGUUUACCUUAAUACUUUUAUUGUAGUUCUGGAUGCUUGCAAUAGAAGUUAAUCAUAAGUGGGAUACUUGUCCAAGUAAGGGCAGUACCCAAUCACCGGUCCACCCACAUACCAAAUUAUCAAAGUACCGAAUGCGAAUCAUAUGAUCGUGAUGAAAACUAGCUUGGCGAUAAUUCCCAUGUGUCCUCGGGAGCGCUUUUCUCUAUAUAAGAGUUUGUCCAGGCUUGUCCUUUGCUACAAAAAGGAUUGGGCCACCUCGCUACACUUUAUUUACUUUUGUUACUUUUUUCUCGUUACAAAUUAUCUUAUCACAAAACUAUCUGUUACCUAUACUUUCAGUGCUUGCAGAGAAUACCUUGCUGAAAACCGCUUAUCAUUUCCUUCUGCUCCUCGUUGGGUUCGACACUCUUACUUAUCGAAAGGACUACGAUAGAUCCCCUAUACUUGUGGGUCAUCAAGACUCUUUUCUGGCGCCAUUGUCGGGGAGUGAAGCGCCUUUGGUAGGUGGAAUUUGGUAAGGAAAAAUUUAUAUAGUGUGCUGAAAUUUACUGUCACUUGUUACUAUGGAAAGUAAUCCUCUGAGGGGCUUGUUCGGGGUAUCUUCACCCCGACCAGAAGAGCAAAGAGUUGCUCCUCAACCUAUUGAACCUACUGAAAAUGAAAAUGUCUACUUUGAGAUUCCUUCGGGUAUGAUAUAAAAACUGCUAGCUAAUCCUUUUGCAUGAGACGGAACAAUGCAUCCUGAUGAGCACCUAAUAUAUGUGGAUGAAGUUUGUGGAUUAUUUAAGCUUGCAGGUGUGCCCGAUGAUGUUAUUAAGAAGAAGGUCUUCCCUUUAUCUUUGAAGGGAGAUGCAUUGACAUGGUAUAGGCUAUGUGAUGAUAUGGGAUCAUGGAACUACAAAUGAUUGAAAUUGGAAUUUCAUCAGAAGUUUUAUCCUAUGCAUCUUGUUCAUCGUGAUCGUAAUUAUAUAUAUAAUUUUUGGCCUUGCAAAGGAGAAAGCAUCACUCAAGCUUGUGGGAGGCUUAAGUCAAUGUUAUAUUCAUGCCCCAAUCAUGAGCUCUCAAGAGAAAUUAUUAUUCAAAAUUUAUAUGCCCGGCUUUCUGAUAACAAUCGCACCAUGCUCGAUACUUCUUGUGCUGGCUCUUUUAUGAUGAAGACUAUUGAAUUCAAAUGGGAUUUAUUGGAAAGAAUGAAACGCAACUCUGAAGAUUGGGACCUCGAUGAAGGUAAGGAGUCAGGUAUGACACCUAAGUUUGAUUAUGUUAAAUCUUUUAUGGAUACCGAUGUUUUCCAUAAAUUUAGCACUAAAUAUGGACUUGACUCUGAAAUAGUAGCUUCUUUCUGUGAAUGUUUUGCUACUUGAUCUCCCUAGGGAGAAGUGGUUUAAAUAUCGUCCCCCCAUAGAAGUAAAAGUAGCUGCACCUAUUAAAGUUGAAGAAAAGACUGUCACUUAUAAUGAUCCUAUUGUUCCUACUGCUUAUGUUGAGAAACCACAUUUUCCUGUUAGAAUAAAAGAUCAUGCUAAAGCUUCAACUGUGGUUCGCAAAAGCAAUAUUAGAAUCUAUACACCUCCUGAGCAAGUUAAACUUGAACCUAAUAUUGCUAUUGUUAAAGAUCUCUUGUCUGAUAAUAUUGAUGGGCAUGUUAUUCAUUUCUGUGAUGAGACUGCUAGAAUUGCUAAACCUUGUGCUAAAGAUAAACAUAGACCUGUGGUAGGCAUGCCUGUUAUUUCUAUUAAAAUAGGAAAUCAUUGUUAUCACGGCUUAUGUGAUAUGGGUGCCAGUGCCAGUGUUAUACCUCAUGACUUAUACAAAGAAAUUAUGCAUGAUAUUGCACCUGCUGAGAUAGAAGAUAUUGAUGUUACAAUUAAACUUGCCAAUAGAGAUACUAUUUCACCAAUUGGGAUUGUUAGAGAUGUUGAAGUCUUGUGUGGGAAAACUAAAUAUCCUGCUGAUUUCUUGUUCUUGGUUCCUGAUACGUCUCCAACGUAACUAUAAUUUUUGAUUGCUCCAUGCUACAUUAUCUUCUAUUUUGGACAUUAUUGGGCUUUAAUAUCCACUUUUAUAUUAUUUUUGGGACUAACCUAUUGACCUAGAGCCCACUGCCAGCUCCUGUUUUUUCCCUUGUUUCAGUGUUUCGAAGAAAAGGAAUAUCAAACGGAGUCGGAACGGAAUGAAACCUUCUGGAGAAGUUAUUUUUGGAAGGAAAGCGACCUGAUAGACUUGGAGUGCACGUUAGGAAAGAAACGAGGGACCACGAGGCAGGGGGGCGCGCCCACCCCCCUAGGGCGCGCCCUCCACCCUCGUGGGCCCCUCAUGGCUCCCCUGAUGUAUUUAUUCCGCCUAUAUAUAUCCAUAUACCCUAAAACUAUCGGGGAAUACAAUAGAUCGGGAGUUCCACCUCCAGAAGCCUCCGUAGCCACCGAAAACCAAUCUAGACCCGUUCGGGCACCCUGCCGGAGGGGGCAAUCCCUCUCCGGUGGCCAUCUUCAUCAUCCCGGUGCUCUCCAUGACGAGGAGGGAGUAGUUCUCCCUCGGGGCUGAGGGUAUGUACCAGUAGCUAUGUGUUUGAUCGCUCUCUCUCGUGUUCUUGAGGUGGUACGAUCUUGAUGUAUCGCAAGCUUUGCUAUUAUAGUUGGAUCUUAUGAUGUUUCUUCCCCCCCUCUACUCUCUUGUAAUGGAUUGAGUUUUCCCUUUGAAGUUAUCUUAUCGGAUUGAGUCUUUAAGGAUUUGAGAACACUUGAUGUAUGUCUUGCCGUGCUUAUCUGUGGUGACAAUGGGAUAUCACGUGAUCCACUUGAUGUAUGUUUUGGUGAUCAACUUGCGGGUUCCGCCCAUGAACCUAUGCAUAGGGGUUGGCACUCAUUUUCGUCUUGACUCUCCGGUAGAAACUUUGGGGCACUCUUUGAGGUCCUAUGUGUUGGUUGAAUAGAUGAAUCUGAGAUUGUGUGAUGCAUAUCGUAUAAUCAUACCCACGGAUACUUGAGGUGACAUUGGAGUCUCUAGGUGACAUUAGGGUUUUGGUUGAUUUGUGUCUUAAGGUGUUAUUCUAGUACAAACUCUAGGGCUGUUUGUGACACUUAUAGGAAUAGCCCAACGGAUUGAUUGGAAAGAAUAACUUUGAGGUGGUUUCGUACCCUACCAUAAUCUCUUCGUUUGUUAUCCGCUUUUAGUGACUUUGGAGUGACUCUUUGUUGCAUGUUGAGGGAUAGUUAUGUGAUCCAAUUAUGUUAUUAUUGUUGAGGGAACUUGCACUAGUGAAAGUAUGAACCCUAGGCCUUGUUUCAACGCAUUGCAAUACCAUUUGUGCUCACUUUUAUCAUUAGUUACCUUGCUAUUUUUAUAUUUUCAUAUUACAAAAACCUUUAUCUACCAUCCAUAUUGCACUUUACCAUUGUAUUGGGUGUGUUGGGGACACAAGAGACUCUUUGUUAUUUGGUUGCAGGGUUGCUUGAGAGAGACCAUCUUCAUCCUACGCCUCCUACGGAUUGAUAAACCUUAGGUCAUCCACUUGAGGGAAAUUUUCUACUGUCCUACAAACCUCUGCACUUGGAGGCCCAACAACGUCUACAAGAAGAAGGUUGUGUAGUAGACAUCAAGCUCUUUUCUGGCGCCGUUGCCGGGGAGGUGAGUGCUUGAAGGUAUAUCUUUAGAUAUUGCAAUCGAGUCUUUUAGUUUCGUGUUUUAUCAUUAGUUUAGUUUAUAAAAGAAAAUUACAAAAAAUGGAAUUAAGUUUGCCUCAUACGCUUCAUCUUUUUAAUAUCUUUCGUGAGUAUGAUGGAAAGGAAAAUUGUGCCAAAGUGUUAGAAGAAGAAUGCAUUAAAAUGUUUGGCACUAAAUCUUUGAAUGAUGAGCAUGAUUGCAAUGUUGUUAGUAUGAAAUCCUUGAAUAUCCAUAGUACCAAUGAUGAUUGCACUAGUUAUGAUGAAAAUGUCUCCUAUAAACAUGUCAAUUUUUGUGGAGCGCAUUGGGUUUGCAAGUACAGACCAAUUAGGGAAGAUAGAUUUGGCAAGAGGCAUAAGUACUUAGAAACUAAAUUGUUGCAAGAAAGGCUAGAUGUUUGUGCUAAAAAUUUAAAUUUUCUUGGCCAUACUUGUGAGCUUUGCAAUGAACAUGGUCAUUUAACCGUCCGAUGCAAAUUGUUUCAUGAUCUAAUCAUUUCCAAAAAUUGUGAUGACUUGAUUUCUCUUGCACAUCAUAAUGAACUUAGUUUGCUUAUGGGUUACGAAGAAAUGAAACGUAUAACUAUCUUCUAGUAUUUGCCUGUGAUAAACUUCUUGGCUUUGAUCUAUAGGAAAUUUAUAUGUAUUGUGCGGUGAAUUGCAUUGAAAACCCUUAUAUUGCCAACUACAUAAAGAAAAGAAAACAAAUAGAAGAUGAAGAGAAUACUAAUGAAAGGGAAGAGACUUCCGAAUACCCUCCUAUUAUUUCUUAUGAUGAAUCAGGUAACGAGGAGGAGCCUUCUAUUCAACCAAUCUCANNNNNNNNNNNNNNNNNNNNNNNNNNNNNNNNNNNNNNNNNNNNNNNNNNNNNNNNNNNNNNNNNNNNNNNNNNNNNNNNNNNNNNNNNNNNNNNNNNNNNNNNNNNNNNNNNNNNNNNNNNNNNNNNNNNNNNNNNNNNNNNNNNNNNNNNNNNNNNNNNNNNNNNNNNNNNNNNNNNNNNNNNNNNNNNNNNNNNNNNNNNNNNNNNNNNNNNNNNNNNNNNNNNNNNNNNNNNNNNNNNNNNNNNNNNNNNNNNNNNNNNNNNNNNNNNNNNNNNNNNNNNNNNNNNNNNNNNNNNNNNNNNNNNNNNNNNNNNNNNNNNNNNNNNNNNNNNNNNNNNNNNNNNNNNNNNNNNNNNNNNNNNNNNNNNNNNNNNNNNNNNNNNNNNNNNNNNNNNNNNNNNNNNNNNNNNNNNNNNNNNNNNNNNNNNNNNNNNNNNNNNNNNNNNNNNNNNNNNNNNNNNNNNNNNNNNNNNNNNAGAAGAAGAAGAAGAAGAAGAAGAAGAAGAAGAAGAAGAAAAGAAAAGAAAAAGGAAGAGAGGUAAAAAGAUAUCACUCCCAAAUAAUGCUGUCCCUAUUAUUGUUGUGCCUCAUGAAAAUAUAAUUGUGGAAGAUGAUGCACUUGAUGAUGAUCUCGUUAUGCCUAUUUCUUGUUGUGAUGACUAUGAUUGGGAAGAUAAUGAUACUUCUUAUGAUCUUGAAAAUCUUUUUGGCACUUGCUUGGAAGAAUAUGAUAAUUGCUAUACUAUUGGUGUUAUCCAUACUAUUGAUGAUGAAAGUGAUUAUGCUUAUGAUAUGAAAAGGCCCAAGCUUGGGGAUGCUAUGUUUGAAGAAGAUGAUGUUUUUGAGAAUAUAUUUGCUGCAAUUAAUGUUUGUCCCAAGCUUGGGGAUGCUACGUUUAAUGAAGAUGAUAUUUUUAGUCUCCCAAGUUUUGAUAUGCAAAUUUAUAAUGAUGAUAGCAUGCCUCCUACUUAUGAUGAUUACAUUGAUGAAAGUGGAUUUGGAGAGGUCAUGACUUUAUUUAGUAAUGAUUCCACUAUCUUGGAAGAGGUUUCAAUUGAUUAUGAUGAGAACAAAGUUGCUACUUAUGAUAAUUAUUGUGAUGAUACAUAUGCUAUAAAAAGUAGUGAUGAUUAUAUUUAUAAAACUUGUCAUGAUUAUGAUUACCCUUUUUCUGAACAUUGCUCUUUUAAUGUGGAAACAAUUUAUAGUAUUCGAGUCUCUUAUGAUACUCCCACUAUUCUGAAUGAGGAUAAUCUUGCUUAUGUGGAGAGUAGUAAAUUUUCUAUGCUUGUAGAUCAUGAAAAGAAUGUUUUAGGUGAUGGUUAUAUUGUUGAAUUCAUUCAUGAUGCUACUGAAAAUUAUUAUGAGGGAGGAACUUAUGCUUGUAGGAAUUGCAAUAAUAUCAAGUUUCCUCUCUAUGUGCUUAAAGUUUUGAAGUUAUGCUUGUUUUACCUUCCUAUGCAAGUUGAUUCUUGUUCCCACAAGUUGUUUUCUCACAAGAUCCCUAUGCAUAGGAAGUGGGUUAGACUUAAAUGUGCUAGUCAUAUUAUUCAUGAUGCUCUCUUUAUGUUUCAAUUCUUAUCCUUUAUGUGAGUAUCAUUGAAAUCAUCAUGCCUAGCUAGGGGCGUUAAACAAUAGCGCUUGUUGGGAGGCAACCCAACUUUAUUUUUGUUCCUUGCUUUUUGUUCCUGUUUAGUAAUAAAUAAUUCAUCUAGACUCUGUUUAGAUGUGGUUUUAUGCUUUUAAUUAGUGUUUGUGCCAAGUAGAACCUUUGGGAAGACUUGGGGAAAGUCUUGUUGAUCUUGCUGUAAAAAACAGAAACUUUAGCACUCACGAGAAUUGCUGCCAUUUUUAUUUGGAUAGUGAUAUUUAGUUAAUUAUUUUUUCAGAUGAUUAAUAGAUAAAUUCCCCAGGUACACCAAUUUAUUUGAUAAUUUUAUGAGUUCCAUAAGUAUACGUUUGAUCCAGAUUACUACAGAUUGUUCUGUUUUUGACAGAUUCUGUUUUCUAUGUGUUGUUUGCUUAUUUUGAUGAAUCUAUGAGUAGUAUCGGAGGGUAUGAACCAUAGAUAAGUUGGGAUACAGAAGAUAUUACACAAAUAUGAAUUUAGAAUGAGUUCACAACAGUACCUAAGUGGUGAUUUAUUUUCUUAUACUAACGGAGCUCACGAGUUUUCUGUUAUGUUUUGUGUUGUGAAGUUUUCAAGUUUUGGGUAAAGAUUCGAUGGACUAUGGAAUAAGGAGUGGCAAGAGACUAAGCUUGGGGAUUGCCAAGGCACCCCAAGGUAAUAUUCAAGGACAACCAAAAGCCUAAGCUUGGGGAUGCCCCGGAAGGCAUCCCCUCUUUCGUCUUCGUUCAUCGGUAACUUUACUUGGAGCUAUAUUUUUAUUUACCACAUGAUAUGUGUUUUGCUUGGAGAGUCAUUUUAUUUUAUUUAGUUUUGCUUGCUGUUUGAAUAAAAUACCAAGAUAUUAAAUUAUUAAAUGUUAGAGAGUCUUCAUCUAGUUGCAUAAUUAUUCAACUACUCAUUGAUCUUCACUUAUAUCUUUCGGAGUAGUUUGUUGUUGCUCUAGUGCUUCACUUAUAUCUUUUAGAGCACGGUGGUGGUUUUAUUUUAUAGAAAUAGAUGAACUAUCAUGUGUCACUUAUAUUAUUUUGAGAGUCUUAAACAGCAUGGUAAUUUGCUUAGGUUAUGAAUUUAGUCCUAAUAUGAUGGGCAUCCAAGAGGGAUAUAAUAAAAACUUUCAUAUGAAGUGCAUUGAAUACUAUGAGAAGUUUGAUACUUGAUGAUUGUUUUGAGAUAUGAGGAUGGUAAUAUUAGAGUCAUGCUAGUGAGUAGUUGUGAAUUUUAAAGAUACUUGUGUUAAAGUUUGUGAUUCCCGUAGCAUGCACGUAUGGUGAACCGUCAUGUGAUGAAGUCGGAGCAUGAUUUAUUCAUUGAUUGUCUUCCUUAUGAGUGGCGGUCGGGGACGAGCGAUGGUCUUUUCCUACCAAUCUAUCCCCCUAGGAGCAUGCGUGUAGUACUUUGUUUCGAUAACUAAUAAAUUUUUGCAAUAAGUAUAUGAGUUCUUUAUGAAUAAUGUUGAGUCCAUGGAUUAUACGCACUCUCACCCUUCCACCAUUGCUAGCCUCUCUAAUACCGCGCACCUUUCGCCGGUAUCAUAAACCCACCAUGUACCUUCCUCAAAACAGCCACCAUACCUACCUAUUAUGGCAUUUCCAUAGCCAUUCUGAGAUAUAUUGCCAUGCAACUUUCCACCGUUCCGUUUAUUAUGACACGUUUCAUCAUUGUCAUAUUGCUUUGCAUAAUCAUAUAGUUGACAUCGUAUUUGUGGCAAAGCCACCGUUCAUAAUUCUUUCAUACAUGUCACUCUUGAGUCAUUGCACAUCUCGGUACACCGCUGGAGGCAUUCAUAUAGAGUCAUAUCUUGUUCUAAAUAUCGAGUUGUAAUUCUUGAGUUGUAAGUAAAUAAAAGUGUGAUGAUCAUCAUUAUUAGAGCAUUGUCCCAGUGAGGAAAGGAUGAUGGAGACUAUGAUUCCCCCACAAGUUGGGAUGAGACUCUGUACGAAAAAAAGAGGCCAAAGAAGCCCAAAUUAAAAAAAGAGAAAAGAGGCAUAAAAAAGAGAAGGCCCAAACAAAAUAAUAAUAAUAAUAAUAAUAAAUGAGAGAAAAAGAGAGAAGGGGCAAUGCUACUAUCCUUUUACCACACUUGUGCUUCAAAGUAGCACCAUGAUCUUCAUGAUAGAGAGUCUCCUAUGUCGUCACUUUCAUAUAGUAGUGGGAAUCUUUAAUUAUAGAACUUGGCUUGUAUAUUCCAAUGAUGGGCUUCCUCAAAAUGCCCUAGGUCUUCGUGAGCAAGCGAGUUGGAUGCACACCCACUUAGUUUCUUUUUGAGCUUUCAUACACUUAUAGCUCUAGUGCAUCUGUUGCAUGGCAAUCCCUACUCACUCACAUUGAUAUCUAUUGAUGGGCAUCUCCAUAGCCCUUUGAUACGCCUAGUUGAUGUGAGACUAUCUUCUCCUUUUUGUCUUCUCCACAACCACCAUUCUAUUCCACAUAUAGUGCUAUGUCCAUGGCUCACGCUCAUGUAUUGCGUGAAGAUUGAAAAAGUUUGAGAACAUCAAAAGUAUGAAACAAUUGCUUGGAUUGUCACCGGGGUUGUGCAUGAUUUAAAUAUUUUGUGUGGUGAAGAUUGAGCAUAGCCAGACUAUAUGAUUUUGUAGGGAUAGCUUUCUUUAGCCAUGUUAUUUUGAGAAGACAUGAUUACUUGGUUAGUAUGCUUGAAGUAUUUUUAUUUUUAUGUCAAUACUAAACUUUUGUCUUGAAUCUUUCGGAUCUGAAUAUUCAUACCACAAUUAAGAAGAAUUACAUUGAAAUUAUACCAAGUAGCACUCCGCAUAAAAAAUUCUGUUUUUAUCAUUUACCUACUCGAGGACGGGCAGGAAUUAAGCUUGGGAAUGCUGAUACGUCUCCAACGUAUCUAUAAUUUUUGAUUGCUCCAUGCUAUAUUAUCUUAUGUUUUGGACAUUAUUGGGCUUUAUUAUCCACUUUUAUAUUAUUUUUGGGACUAACCUAUUGACCUAGAGCCCAGUGCCAGUUCCUGUUUUUCCCUUGUUUCAGUAUUUCGAAGAAAAGGAAUAUCAAAUAGAGUCGAAACGGAAUGAAACCUUCUAGAGAAGUUAUUUUUGGAAGGAAAGCUAUCCGAUAGACUUGGAGUGCAUGUCAGGAAAGAAACGAGGGAACCACGAGGCAGGGGGCGCGCACACCCCCUAGGGCGCGCCCUCCACCCUCGUGGGCCCCUCGUGGCUCCCCUGAUGUAUUUCUUCCGCCUAUAUAUAUCCAUAUACCCUAAAACUAUCGGGGAACACAAUAGAUCAGGAGUUCCGCCGCCAGAAGCCUCCGUAGCCACCGAAAACCAAUCUAGACCCGUUCUGGCACCCUGCCGGAGGGGGCAAUCCCUCUCCAGUGGCCAUCUUCAUCAUCCCGGUGCUCUCCAUGACGAGGAGGGAGUAGUUCUCCCUCGGGGCUGAGGGUAUGUACCAGUAGCUAUGUGUUUGAUCUCUCUCUCUCGUGUUCUUGAGGUGGUAUGAUCUUGAUGUAUCGUGAGCUUUGCUAUUAUAGUUGGAUCUUAUGAUGUUUCUUCCCCCUCUACUCUCCUGUAAUGGAUUGAGUUUUCCCUUUGAAGUUAUCUUAUCGGAUUGAGUCUUUAUGUUUUUGAAAACACUUGAUGUAUGUCUUGCCGUGCUUAUCUGUGGUGACAAUGGGAUAUCACGUGAUCCACUUGAUGUAUGUUUUGGUGAUCAACUUGCGGGUUCCGCCCAUGAACCUAUGCAUAGGGGUUGGCACACGUUUUCGUCUUGACUCUCCGGUAGAAACUUUGGGGCACUCUUUGAGGUCCUAUGUGUUGGUUGAAUAGGUGAAUCUAAGAUUGUGUGAUGCAUAUCGUAUAAUCAUACCCCAUGGAUACUUGAGGUGACAUUGGAGUAUCUAGGUGACAUUAGGGUUUUGGUUGAUUUGUGUCUUAAGGUGUUAUUCUAGUACGAAUUCUAGGGCUGUUUGUGACACUUAUAGGAAUAGCCCAACGGAUUGAUUGGAAAGAAUAACUUUGAGGUGGUUUCGUACCCUAUCAUAAUCUCUUCGUUUGUUCUCCGCUAUUAGUGACUUUGGAGUGACUCUUUGUUGCAUGUUGAGGGAUAGUUAUGUGAUCCAAUUAUGUUAUUAUUGUUGAGGGAACUUGCACUAGUGAAAGUAUGAACCCUAGGCCUUGUUUCAACGCAUUGCAAUACCGUUUGUGCUCACUUUUAUCAUUAGUUACCUUGCUGUUUUUAUAUUUUCAUAUUACAAAAACCUUUAUCUACCAUCCAUAUUGCACUUGUAUCACCAUCUCUUCGCCGAACUAGUGCACCUAUACAAUUUACCAUUGUAUUGGGUGUGUUGGGGACACAAGAGACUCUUUGUUAUUUGGUUGCAGGGUUGCUUGAGAGAGACCAUCUUCAUCCUACUCCUCCUACGGAUUGAUAAACCUUAGGUCAUCCACUUGAGGGAAAUUUUCUACUGUCCUACAAACCUGUGCACUUGGAGGCCCAACAACGUCUACAAGAAGAAGGUUGUGUAGUAGACAUCAGUUCCCCACAAGAUAGCUUUUGUCCCAUUAUAUUUGGUAGACCCUUCUUGAACACAGUUAAUGCUAAGAUAGAUUGCGAAAAAGAUGUUGUUACUAUUGGUUUAGGUGAUAUGUCUCAUGAGUUUAAUUUCUCUAAAUUUCGUAGACAACACCGUGAAGAGUAAUUGCCUAGUAAAGAUGAAAUUAUUGGUCUUGCUUCUAUUGCCGUGCCUCCUAGUGAUCCUUUAGAAUAGUACUUGCUAGACCAUGAAAAUGAUAUGUUUAUGAAUGAAAGAAGGGAAAUAGAUGAAGUAUUCUUUAAACAUGAACCCAUCCUGAAACAUAAUUUGCCCGUCAAAAUCCUAGGGGAUCCUCCUCCACCCAAGGGUGAUCCCGUGUUUGAGCUCAAACUGUUACCUGAUAGUCUUAAAUAUGCUUAUCUUGAUGAGAAAAAGAUAUAUCCUGUUGUUAUUAGUGCUAACCUUUCAGAGCAUGAAGAAGAGAGAUUAUUAAAAACUCUGAAGCAGCACCGUGAUGCUAUUGGAUAUACUCUCAAUGAUCUUAAGGGCAUUAGUCCCACACUAUGUCAACACAAAAUAAAUUUGGAGAAAGAUGCCAAACCAGUUCGUGAUCACCAACUACGGCUGAAUCCUAAGAUGAAAGAAGUGGUAAGAAAGGAAAUACUAAAUCUCCUUGAGGCAGUUAUAAUUUAUCCCGUUGCUGAUAGUCAGUGGGUAAGUCAUGUCCAUUGUGUCCCUAAAAAGGAAGGUAUUACUAUCGUUCCUAAUGAUAAAGAUGAAUUGAUUCUGCAAAGAAUUAUUACAGGUUAUAGGAUGGUAAUUGAUUUCCGCAAAUUAAAUAAGGCUACUAAAACGAUCAUUACCCCUUUCCUUUUAUUGAUCAAAUGCUAGAAAUAUUAUCCAACCAUACACAUUUUUGCUUUCUAGAUGGUUAUUCUGGUUUCUCUCAAAUACAUGUGUCAGCUGAUGAUCAAUCUAAGACCACUUUUACUUGCUUGUUCGGUACUUUUGCUUAUAGACAUAUGCCUUUUGGUUUAUGUAAUGCACCUGCUACCUUCCAAAGAUGCAUGAUGGCUAUAUUCUCUAACUUUUGUGAAAAUAUUUGUGAGGUUUUCAUGGACGAAUUGCUCCGUCUAUGGAUCCUAUUUUGAUGAUUGCUUAAGCAACCUUGAUCGAGUUUUGCAUAGAUGUGAAGAAACUAACCUUUGUAAUGAAUUGGGAGAAGUGCCACUUUAUGGUUAAUGAAGGUAUUGUCUUGGGGCAUAAAGUUUCUGAAAGAGGUAUUGAAGUUGAUAAAGCUAAGGUUGAUGUUAUUGAAAAGAUGCCAUGUCCCAAGGAUAUCAAAGGUAUAAGAAGUUGCCUUGGUCACGUCGGUUUUUAUAGGAGGUUCAUUAAGGACUUCUCAAAAAUUUCUCGGCCUCUUACUAAUUUAUUACAAAAAGAUAUACCAUUUGUUUUUGAUGAUGAUUGCGUAGAACCAUUUGAAAUACUUAAUAAAGCUUUGAUCUCUGCACCUAUUGUUCAACCACCUGAUUGCAUUUUACCUUUUGAAAUUAUGUGUGAUGCUAGUGAUUAUGCUGUAGGUGUUGUUCUAGGGAAAAGAGUUGAUAAGAAAUUAAAUGUUAUACAAUAUGCUAGUAAAACUCUAGACAAUGCCCAGAGAAAUUAUGCUACUACUGAAAAAGGAUUCUUAGCAGUUGUAUUUGCAUGUGAUAAGUUCAGACCUUAUAUUGUUGAUUCUAAAGUAAGUAUUCACACUGAUCAUGUUGCUAUUAAAUAUCUUAUGGAAAAGAAAGAUGUUAAACCUAGACUUAUUAGAUGGGUUCUCUUGCUACAAGAAUUUGAUAUGCAUAUUAUUGAUAGAAAGGGAGCUGAGAACCCCGUUGCAGACAACUUGUCUAGGCUAGAGAAUGUUCUUGAUGACCCACUACCUAUUGAUGAUAGCUUUCCUGAUGAACAAUAAAUGUCAUAAAUGCUUCUUGUACUGCUCCAUGGUAUGCUGAUUAUGCUAAUUACAUUGUUACUAAAUUUAUACCACCUAGUUUCACAUACCAGCAAAAGAAAAAGUGUUUCUAUGAUUUAAGGCAUUACUUUUGGGAUGACCCACAUCUUUAUAAAGAAGGAGUAGAUGGUGUUAUUAGACAUUGUGUACCUGAGCAUGAACAGGAACAGAUCUUACGUAAGUGUCACUCUGAACCUUAUGGAGGACACCAUGCUGGAGAUAGAACUGCACACAAGGUAUUGCAAUCCGGUUUUUAUUGGCCUACUCUCUUCAAGAAUGCCCGUAAGUUUGUCUUGUCUUGUGAUGAAUGUCAAAGAAUUGGUAAUAUUAGUAGACGUCAAGAAAUGCCUAUGAAUUAUUCACUUGUUAUUGAACCAUUUGAUGUUUGGGGCUUUGAUUAUAUGGGAUCUUUUCCUACCUCCAAUGGAUACACACAUAUUUUAGUUGUUGUUGAUUACGUUACUAAGUGGGUAGAAGCUAUUCCAACUAGUAGUGAUGAUCAUAACACCUCUAUUAAGAUGCUUAAAGAAGUUAUUUUUCCGAGGUUUGGACUCCCUAGAUACUUAAUGACGGAUGGUGGUUCACAUUUUAUUCAUGGUGCUUUCCGUAAAAUGCUUGCUAAGUAUGAUGUUAAUCAUAGAAUUGCAUCUCCUUAUCACCCACAGUCUAGUGGUCAAGUAGAAUUGAGCAAUAGAGAACUCAAAUUAAUUUUGCAAAAGACUGUUAAUAGAUCCAGAAAGAAUUGGUCCAAGAAACUUGAUGAUGCAUUAUGGGCCUAUAGAACUGCAUAUAAAAAUCCUACGAGUAUGUCUCCGUAUAAAAUGGUCUAUGGAAAAGCAUGUCACUUACCUCUUGAAUUAGGACAUAAGGCUUAUUGGGCUAUUAAAGAGCUCAAUUGUGAUUUCAAACUUGCCGGUGAGAAGAGGUUAUUUGACAUUAGCUCACUCGAUGAAUGGAGAACCCAAGCCUAUGACAAUGUCAAAUUGUUUAAAGAAAAAGUUAAAAGACGGCAUGACAAAAGAAUACAAAAGCGUGAGUUUAAUGUAGGUGAUUAUGUAUUGCUAUACAACUCUCCUUUAAGAUUUUUUGCUGGAAAACCUCCCUCUAAAUGGGAAUGUCCUUAUGUUAUCGAGGAGGUCUAUCGUUCCGGUGCCAUAAAAAUCAACAACUUCGAAGGCACAAACCCGAAGGUGGUGAACGGUCAAAGAAUCAAACAUUAUAUCUCAGGUAAUGCUAUAAAUGUUGAAACCAAUGUUAUUGAAACCAAAACCCCGGAGGAAUACAUAAGGGACACUUUCCAGAACGUUUCAGACUCCGAAAAGGAAUAAGUAUGUGGUACGGUAAGUAAACCGACUCCAAAACAGUUCUAAUGGCAAUUUUCUUCUGUUUUGGAAUAUUUAGAAAAUAAGAAGCAGUCCGGGAAGGACAUGAGGGCUCCACGAGGGUGGAGGGUGCUCCCUACCCCCUGGGCGCGCCCCCCUACCUCGUGGGCACCUCGUGUGCUCUCCGGACUCCGUUUUCUUGCAUGAUACAUGUUUUGGUCGGUAAAAAUUCAUUAUAUAAUCUCCUGGAGGUUUUGACUCCCAUAUCAUGCAAUUAUCCUUUGUUUGUGUUUCGAGCUGUUACUCCUGCAGAUUAGAGCAAGAUGUCUUCACAAGAGUCAGUCGACGAGAGCUGGGUGUCUCAUCCGGCACCGAGAUCAAUGACAAACAACAAUGUUGACCACUUUGGGCCAACAACGGAGGAAGAGAUGGACGCUGAUUUGAAGAGGAUAGAUGCCAUGGAGGAGGAUCAAGAAGUCACUUCCCGCUUCCGAGCUGGAUUCACAAUGGGGGAACUACAGAGCUCGGCUAUCCCAAACUCGGUUAUCCCUUCCAAUGUUAGAUUUCUUUCUUAUGAGAGUAUGAAAAAGAGUGUCACUGGUUGUCCCACAGCUAUGCAACACCCUUGGGUGUAGGGAGCUUUGGCUGUUACAGGAAAACUUCGAAAGGAAAUAAUGGACCUCAAGCAGCAAGUCAAUAAGCUCGAGGAGGAGAAUCGUAUCAUGAGGGGCAUCAUUGCCAAGAAUAUAACAUCACCAUCCCCGAAAAAGGAAACAUAAUCAUAAGGGUAUGGGCACUCCCCUUGGCAACUGCCAAGCUUGGGGGAGGUGCCCCGGUAUCGUAUCACCAUCACUUUUAUCUUUACCAUUUUUCUUAGUUCGAUCCUUUUGAUAAUAUCUUGAUCUAGUAGAAUAAAGUUCUUAGUAUGAUCUAGUUGUGAGUUUUGCUUUAUGAUCCUUCUAUGUAAUCGAGUCCGUGAGCUAUAUAUAUAUAAUAAAGAUUAGUGUUGAGUCAAGGGCUUGAUUAUUUUGCCAUGAUCUUGAGUGAAUAAAAUAAAAGAGAAAUAAUAAAAAGAAACAAAGAGAUCAUAUGGACCUUAUGGAGAGUAAUGAGCUCACAUAGAAAGAGUAUGAUGAAUAAAAAUUGUUGAGAGUUGACAAACAUAGUUUUGGUCAUCGUUGCAAUUAAUAGGAAGUAAUAAAGAAAGAGAGGUCUUCACAUAUAAAUAUACUAUCUUGGACAUCUUUUAUGAUUGUGAGCACUCAUUAAAAUAUGACAUGCAAAAGAGUUGACGUUGGACAAGGAAGACAACGUAAUGGGUUAUGUUUUCUUACAUCUGAGAUAAAUUAUAUUGUCAUGGAUCAUCCAAUAUGAUUGAGUUUGCCUUUCCCCCUCAUGCUAGCCAAAUUCUUUGCACUAAGUAGAGAUACUACUUCUGCUUCCAAACACCCUUAAACCAGUCUUGCCAUAAGAGUCCACCAUACCGACCUAUGGAUUGAGUAAGAUCCUCCAAGUAAUUUGUCAUCGGUGCAAGCAAUAAAAAUUGCUCUCUAAAUAUGUAUGACUUAUUAGUGUGGGAGAAAAUAAGCUUUAUACGAUCAUGUGAUAUUGAAGAACUAAAAGUGACGGACUGCAUAAUAAAGGUCCAUAUCACAAGUGGCAAUAUAAAGUGACGUUCUUUCGCAUUAUGAUUUUGUACAUUCAACCAUAAAAGCGCAUGACAACCUCUGCUUCCCUCUGUGAAGGGCCAAUCUUUUACUUUUAUCUCCUACCUUGCAUAAGAGUCAUGGUGAUCUUCACCCUUCCUUUUUAAAUUUUAUCUUUUGGCAAGCACAUCAUGUUGGAAAGAUCCUGGUAUAUAUGGCUAAUUGGAUGUGAGCUUUCAUGAACUAUUAUUGUUGACAUUACCCUUGAGGUAAAAUGUUGGGAGGCAAAACUAUAAGCCCCUAUAUUUCUCUGUGUCUGAUUAAAACUCCAUACCCAUAAGUAUUGCGUGAGUGUUAGCAAUUGUGAAAGACUGUAUGAUAGUUGAGUAUGUGGACUUGCUGAAAAGCUCUUAUAUUGACUCUUUCCUAUGUUAUGAUAAAUUGCAAUUGCUUCAAUGACUGAGAUUAUAGUUUGUUAGUUUUCAAUGAAGUUUAUGAUUCAUACUUGAAAUUGUGAUUGUAUUGUUACUCUAGCAUAAGAGAUCAUAUGACAAGAAUUAUAAAAGUUGUCGUUCUAAGAAUGAUCAUGAUGCCCUCAUGUCCGUAUUUUAUUUUUACCGACACCUCUAUCUCUAAACAUGUGGACAUAUUUUUCGAUUUCGGCUUUCGCUUGAGGACAAGCGAGGUCUAAGCUUGGGGGAGUUGAUACGUCCAUAUUGCAUCAUGCUUUUAUAUCUAUAUUUAUUGCAUUAUGGGCUAUUAUUACACAUUAUGUCACAAUACUUAUGCAUAUUCUCUCUUAUUUUACAAGGUUUACAUAAAGAGGGAGAAUGCCGGCAGCUGGGAUUCUGGGCCGGAAAAGGAGAAAAUAUUACAGACCUAUUCUGCACAACUCCAAAAGUCCUGAAACUUCACGGAAGUCAUUUUCAGAAUAUAUAAAAAAUACUGAGCGCAAGAAGUUCACCAGGGGGCCACACCCUGCCCACGAGGGUGGGGGCGCGCCCUGCCCCCUAGGCGCCCCUACCUCGUGGGGCCCCUGGUGGCCCUCCGAUGUCCAUCUUCUGCUAUAUGGAGUCUUUUGAUGAGGAAAAAAAUCAUAAGCCAUCUUUCCGGACGAGACUCCGCCGCCACGAGGCGGAACCUUGGAGGAAUCAAUCUAGGGCUCCGGCGGAGCUGUUCUGCCGGGGAAACUUCCCUCUGGGAGGGUGAAAUCAUCGCCAUCGUCAUCACCAACGAUCCUCUCAUCGGGAGGGGGUCAAUCUCCAUCAACAUCUUCACCAUCACCAUCUCCUCUCAAACCCUAGUUCAUCUCUUGUAUCCAAUUCUUGUCUCCAAGUCUGAGAUUCGUACCUGUGGGUUGCUAGUAGUGUUGAUUACUCCUUGUAGUUGAUGCUAGUUGGUUUAUUUGGUGGAAAUCAUAUGUUCAGAUCCUAUAUGCAUAUUAAUACCCCUCUGAUUAUUAACAUGAAUAUGCUUUGUGAGUACUUACGUUUGUUCCUGAGGACAUGGGAGAAGUCUUGCUAUUAGUAGUCAUGUGAAUUUGGUAUUCGUUCGAUAUUUUGAUGAGAUGUAUGUUGUCUCUCCUCUAGUGGUGUUAUGUGAACGUCGACUACAUGACACUUCACCAUUAUUUGGGUCUAGAGGAAUGCAUUGGGGAGUAAUAAGUAGAUGAUGGGUUGCUAGAGUGACAGAAGCUUAAACCCUAGUUUAUGUGUUGUUUGGUAAGGGGUUGAUUUGGAUCCACAUGCUUCAUGCUAUGGUUAGGUUUACCUUAAUAAUUUUGUUGUAGUUGCGGCUGCUUGCAAUAGAGGUUAAUCAUAAGUGGGAUACUUGUCCAAGUAAGGGUAGUACCCAAGCACCGGUCCACCCACAUACCAAAUUAUCAAAGUACCGAAUGUGAAUCAUAUGAUCGUGAUGAAAACUAGCUUGACGAUAAUUCCCAUGUGUCCUCAGGAGCACUUUUCUCUAUAUAAGAGUUUGUCCAGGCUUGUCCUUUUCUACAAAAAGGAUUGGGCCACCUUGGUGCACUUUAUUUACUUUUGUUACUUGUUGCUUGCUACAAAUUAUCUUAUCACAAAACUAUCUGUUACCUAUAAUUUCAGUGCUUGCAGAGAAUACCUUGCUGAAAACCUCUUAUCAUUUCCUUCUGCUCCUCGUUGGGUUCGACACUCUUACUUAUCGAAAGGACUACGAUAGAUCCCCUAUACUUGUGGGUCAUCAAACCGGAGUACAUAGCUGCUUCGGAAGCAGCAAAUGAAGGAGUCUAGAUGAAGGAGUUCAUAUCCGAUCUAGGUGUCAUACUUAGUGCAUCAGGUCCAAUGAAAAUCUUUUGUGACAAUACUGGUGCAAUUGCCUUGGCAAAGGAAUCCAGAUUUCACAAGAGAACCAAACACAUCAAGAGACGCUUCAAUUCCAUCCGCGAUCAAGUCCAGGUGGGGGACAUAGAGAUUUGCAAGAUACAUACGGAUAUGAAUGUUGCAGACCCUUGACUAAGCCUCUCUCACGAGCAAAACAUGAUCAGCACCAAGGCUCCAUGGGUGUUAGAAUCAUUACUGUGUAAUCUAGAUUAUUGACUCUAGUGCAAGUGGGAUACUGAAGGAAAUAUGCCCUAGAGGCAAUAAUAAAGUUAUUAUUUAUUUCCUUAUUUCAUGAUAAAUGUUUAUUAUUCAUGCUAGAAUUGUAUUAACCGGAAACAUAAUACAUGUGUGAAUACAUAGACAAGCAAAGUAUCACUAGUAUGCCUCUACUUGACUAGCUCGUUGAUCAAAGAUGGUUAUGUUUCCUAACCAUAGACAUGAGUUGUCAUUUGAUAAAUGGGAUCACAUCAUUAGGAGAAUGAUGUGAUUGACUUGACCCAUUCCGUUAUCUUAGCACUUGAUCAUUUUAGUUUACUUCUAUUGCUUUCUUCAUGACUUAUAAAAUUUCCUAUAACUAUGAGAUUAUGCAACUUCCGAUUACGGGAGGAACACUUUGUGUGCUACCAAAUGUCACAACGUAACUGGGUGAUUAUAAAGGUGCUCUACAGGUGUCUCUGAUGGUACUUGUUGAGUUGGCAUAGAUCGAGAUUAGGAUUUGUCACUCCGAUUGUCGGAGAGGUAUCUCUCGGCCCUCUCGGUAAUGCACAUCACUAUAAGCCUGGCAAGCAAUGUAACUAAUGAGUUGGUUGCGAGAUGAUGCAUUACGGAACGAGUAAAGAGACUUGUUGGUAACGAGAUUGAACUAGGUAUUGAGAUACCGACGAUCGAAUCUCGGGCAAGUAACAUACCGAUGACAAAGGGAACAACAUAUGUUUUCAUGCGGUUUGACCGAUUAAGAUCUUCGUAGAAUAUGUAGGAGCCAAUAUGGGCAUCCAAGUUCUGCUAUUGGUUAUUGACCAUAGAAGUGUCUCGGUCAUGUCUACAUAAUUCUCGAACCCGUAGGGUCUGCACGCUUAACGUUCGUUGACGAUAUAGUAUUUAUGAGUUAUGUAUGUUGGGAACCGAAUGUUGUUCGGAGUUCCGGAUAAGAUCACGGACAUGACAAGGAACUCCAGAAUGAUCCGGAGAUAAAGUCUGAUAUAUGGGAUAAUAGUGUUUGGUCUCUGGAAGGGUUCCGGAAUUCAUUGGAAGGGGUUCCGGAUGUUUCCCGAAAUGUUUGGGUACGAGAACACUCUAUUUGGGCCAAAGGGGAAAGCCCACAAGGUUUUUGGAAAGCACAAAAGGAAGUUUUGUGGAGUCCAGGGGCCAGACGCCAGGGUCCCUGGCGUAUGGGGCCAGACGCCGGGAACCUUGGCGUCUGGCCCUGGAGUCCAAGAAGGACUCUUACCUUUCGGGUGAAACCGACUUUGUGGAGGCUUCUACUCCAAGUUUCGACCACAAGGCUCAACAUAUAAAUAGAGGGGUAGGGAUAGCACCCAACACACAUCAAGAAACACCAAGUUGUGUGCCAGCAACCCCGUCCCCUCUAGUUUAUCCUCCAUAAUAGUUUUUGUAGUGCUUAGGUGAAGCCCUACGGAGAUUGUUCUUCACCAACACCGUCACCACGCCGUCGUGCUGCCGGAACUCAUGUACUACUUCGCCCCUCUUGCUGGAUCAAGAAGGCGAGGACGUCAUCGAGCUGAACAUGUGCUGAAAGCGGAGGUGCCGUACGUUCAGUACUUGAUUGGGAUGGGUUGUGAAGGUGUACGACUACAUCAACCGUAUUGAUAAACGCUUCCGCUUUCGGUCUACGAGGGUACGUAGACAUACUCUCCCCUCUCGUUGCUAUGCAUCACCAUGAUCUCGCGUGUGCGUAGGAUUUUUUUGAAAUUACUGCGUUCCCCAACAAUAGCUAGUAGCUAGAUGGCUUCUUCUCUCUCUUUGAUUCUCAAUACCAUGUUCUCCUCGAUGUUCUUGGAGAUCUAUUCGAUGUAAUACUCUCCUGCGGUGUGUUUGCCGAGAUCCGAUGAAUUGUGGAUUUAUGAUCAGCUUAUCUAUGAAUAUUAUUUGGAUCUCCUCUGAAUUCUUAUAUAUAUGAUUUGAUAUCUUUGCAAGUCUGUUCGAAUUAUCGAUUUGGUUUGGCCAACUAGAUUGGUUUUUAUUGCAAUGGGAGAAGUGCUUAGCUUUGGGUUCAAUCUUGCGGUGCUCGAUCCUAGUGACAGAAGGGGAACCGUAUUGUAUUGUUGCCAUCGAGGAUAACAAGAUGGGGUUUUCAUCAUAUCGCUUGAGUAAUAGUAGUAGAUGCAGAAUCGUUCCGGUCUACUUGAUACGGAUGUGAUGCCUAUAUUCAUGAUCAUUGCCUUAGAUAUCGUCAUAACUUUGCGCUUUUCUAUCAAUUGCUCGGUAGUAGUUUGUUCACCAACCAUAUUAAUUUCUAUCUUGAGAGAAGCCUCUAGUGAAACCUAUGGCCCCCGGGUCUAUUUUCCAUCAUAUAAGUUUCUGAUCUACAAUUUUAGUUUCCUAUUUACUUUCUUUGCAAUCUUUUACUUUCCGUUCAAUAAAUCAAAAAUACCAAAAAUAUUACUUUACUGUUUAUCCAUCUCUAUCAGAUCUCACUUUACAAAGAACCGUGAAGGGAUUGACAACCCCUUUGUCACGUUGGGUGCAAGUUGGUGUUUGUUUGUGCAGGUAUUCAGUGGCUUUCGCAUUUUUCUCCUACUGGAUUGGUACCUUGGUUCUCAAAAGCUGAGGGAAAUACUUACUCUACUUUGUUGCAUCACCCUUUCCUCUUCAAGGGAGAAAACAACGCAAGCUCAAGAGGUAGCGGCGGCCACCUUGGAUCCAUGGUCACGGCUUAGUGUUAAGGAAGUACUUUUCGCCGAUGCCUUCAAAAAGGAGCAAGACUGAUUUUGGAGUUUUUGUGAGAAUGUUGAAUAAGCAAUUCCUGUGGUUGCAUUUUGGGAAGCAUUUAGGAACUGCCUUUUUCAUAGCAGCAUCAUGAUCUGUUAUGACUGAUUUUGGAGAUUUUCCACGCAUGUGUUUGAGAAAAGUAUUGAAUAUCCACUUGAAUGUUUCUGUCUUUUCAUCUUGUAUGACACCACAUGCAAAUAGACAAUUGUCUCUGUGACCAUUUACUCCCACAAAUGGUGCAAACUUCAUAUUAUACUUGUUUGUCUUGUAUGUUGUGUCGAAGCUCAGUAGAUCAUCAUAUUGGUUGUGGUUCCUCAUUCCAGAUCCAUCUACCCAAAAUAUAUACAUCACAUUAUUUUUCAAGAUCUGUUUUUGAAUGAGUAGAAGAACAAUGGAUCUUAUGUUUUUUUUCUUUUCAAAGAAUGAAACCACUUGCAUCAUGUCAUUGAGACUGUACUCUCUCCUCAUCUUGGUCCCCAUGUUGCUAAUCUAUUUUGCUAUGUUAGGCAACGAAGAUAGGCCUCUUUCUGGUUGGUAUAUAUGUUUACCCUUUUGCAAGUUCUGAUCAAGUCUUUGUCUUGUUCACUCAUAUAUUUGUCUGACUGUAGGGACCUCACUUCACCUGGUGGAUGAAGUUCAUGAUUGUGAUCAAUGAUGAGCCUUGUCACUGAUGACCCACAAUUAUAGGGGAUCAAUUGUAGCUCUUUUCGAUAAGUAAGAGUGUCGAACCCAACGAGGAGUAGAAGGAAAUGACAAGUAGUUUUUAGUAAGGUAAUGUCUGCAAGUGCUGAAAUUGUAAGUAGCGAGUAGUUUGAUAGCAAGAUAAUUUGUAACGAGCAAGUAAUGAUAAUAUUAACAAGUAUGCAUCAAGGUAGCCCAAUCCUUUUGAGGCAAAGGACAGGCCAAAAUGGUCUCUUAUGAUAAGCAAAGCGUUCUUGAGGGUACACGAGAAUUUCAUCUAGUCACUUUCAUCAUGUUGGUUUGAUUUGUGUUCGCUACUUUCAUAAUUUGAUAUGUGGGUGGACCGGUGCUUAGGUGAUGUUCUUACUUGAACAAACCUCCUACUUAUGAUUAACCCUCCCGCAAGCAUCCGCAACUACGAGAAAAGUAUUAAGAAUAAAUCCUAACCAUAGCAUUAAACUUUAGGAUCCAAUCGGUCCCUUACGGAAUAGCACAUAAACUGGGGUUUAAGUUUCCGCCACUCUCGCAACCCACCAUCUAAUUGCUACUCCAAAAUGCAUUCCCUUAGGCCCAAAUAUGGUGAAGUGUCAUGUAGUCGACGUUCACAUGACACCACUAAGGGAAUCACAACAUACAUACUAUCAAAAUAUCAAACACAUAUCAAGCUCACAUGAUUACUUGCAACAUGAUUUCUCCCGUGACCUCAAGAACAAAAGUAACUACUCACAAAUAAUAAACAUGCUCAUGAUCAGAGGGGUAUUAAAUAGCAUAAUGGAUCUGAACAUAUAAUCUUCCACCAAAUAAACCAUAUAGUAAUCAACUACAAGAUGUAAUCAACACUACUAGUCACCCACAUGCACCAAUCUAUAGUUUCGGUAACAAGAUUGAACACAAGAGAUGAACUAGGGUUUGAGAGAAGAUGGUGCUGUUGAAGAUGUUGAUGGAGAUUGCCCUCCCCAAGAUGGGAGAGUUGUUGGUGAUGAUGAUGAUGAUGAUUUCCCCCUCCGGGAGGGAAGUUCCCCCGGCGGAAUCGCUCCGCCGGAGGGCAAAAGUGCUACUGCCCAAGUUCCGCCUCGAGACGGCGGCGCUCCGUCCCAAAAGUCUUCUCCUUAUUUUUUCUAGGUCAAAAUGACUUAUAUACCAAAAGAUGGGCACCGGAUGUGGGCCGAGGAGGCCAAAACCCAUCAGGGCGCGCUUGGGGGCCUGGCGCGCCCAGGUGGGUUGUGCCCACCUGGUGGCCCCCCUCUGGUAGUUAUUGGCUCCAAUAUUUCUUAUAUAUUCCAUAAAAAAACUCCGUCAAGUUUCAGCUCAUUUGGAGUUGUGCAGAAUAGGUAGACUGCGUAACUUUUCCAGGUUUAGAUUUCCAGCUGCUGGAAUUCUCCCUCUUUGUGUGUUCCUUGCAAAUUAUGAGAGAAAAGGCAUUAGAAUUACUCCAAAAAGCAUUAUUAUGGAUAAAAAAGUUAUAAAUAAUCGUAAGAAAACAUGAUGCAAAAAUGGACGUAUCAACUCCCCCAAGCUUAGACCUUGCUUGUCCUCAAGCAAAAACCGAAAUCGAAAAACAUGUCCACAUGCUUUGAGAGAGAGGUGUCGAUAAAAACAAAAUAUGGACAUAGAAGCAUCAUGUUGAUUAUUAUAACAGCAACAAAUUAAACAUAGGACUUUUAUCACAGAUCUUGCAUCAUAUACUUCCUAUGAAUAAGUAAGAGUUCAUCACAUAAUCGAAGUAUAAAGCAAAAACUCUAUUAAAAACCAACAAACCAUGUUCCCAGUCAACUUUGCAACUACAAUUCAUCAUCUUUUCAGGAAGAGUCACAUGUCGGAGCCUUUUAAGCAAGUCCACAUACUCAACCAUCAUAUAGUCUUCUAUGAUUGCUAACUCUCACCUUGUACCCAUGAGCAAAACGUUUCAACCGGACACAUAGAAAGAUAGGGGCUUAUAGUUUCGCCUACCAACAUACUCACCUCAAGGGUGAUGUCAACAAUAAUAACUCAUGCUAUCUAUAUUCAACUGGACAUAUGUGCCUAGAUCUUUCCUCACCACAUGAUGCUUGUCAAACGAGAAAAUAAAAAGGAAUAGAAGGAAAAACUUUGAAUCUUUGCAUAAAAGUAAAAGAUAGGCCCUUCGCAGAGGGAAGCAGAGGUUGCCAUGCACUUAUUUUUUUGCAUGCUCAAUCCCUUAGUGCAAGAGAACGUCACGUUGUAUUGCCCCUUAAGAUGAUAACCUUUAUUAUGCAGUAUGUCGCUUUUAUUCUUUGUCAUCCAAGUUCCUACAACGCUCAAUUUUCUCUUACACUAAAUGAUCUCACAUAUUUAGAAGCAAUUUUUAUUGCCUUUUUGCACCGAUGACAACUUACUUGAGGGAUCUUGUUCAAUCCCUAGGUAGGUAUGGUGGACACUUGAAAACGAUUUGGGUUUAAGGGUUUUGGAUGCACAAGUAGUAUCUCUACUUAGUGCGGAAUUUUUGGCUAGCAAAGAUAGGGGCAAGCACCACAUGUUGAAGGAUCUAUGACAAUAUGACUUCUAUGUGAAUAUAAACAAACAUAAACCAUUAAGUUGUCUUCCUUAUCCAAUGUCAACAAUUUUGGCAUAUAAUAUUUUGAUGAGGGUUCACAAUCACAAAAGAUUUCUAGGAUAGUAUAUCUAUAUGUGAAUCUUCUCUUCCCUUAUUAAUUCUUUCAUGAGUUGCAUCAUUGACUAAUGCUAUGUUUGUCAAUAUCUAAUAAAAUUUCCUACUUAUAAUUUUCCUUAUGUGGUGCUAUCACCUACCAUAGGAUUAGUAUAUAAUCUUAUUGAUCUAUUUCCUUUCUUUUCUCCUUUUCUUUCUUUCUUAUUUCUUUUAUUUUAUUUAUUUGCAACAUGAAAGUAAAGAAAGCAAAAACUCAAAUUAAACUUUAUUAUAUAACUUGCACACGAUUACAAUGAUAGAUCACUAAGCGAAAUCUCAAAUAAGAAGGGAUCAAACUAAACUUUAUUUCAUCUAAAGCAAAAUGAUCGAACUAAGAAAAGUAGAAGCAAAAAGAUAGUGGGAUGAUACGAUACCGGGGCACCUCCCCCAAGCUUGGCAGAAGCCAAGGGGAGUGCCCAUACCCGAUACUCAGUUCUCCUUUGGUGGUGAAGAUGAUGGUGGUGAUGAAGAAGGUAAUGGUGGUGGUGAGAAGAUAGGGGAUUUGCCCUUUGCUUCCUUCAGCUUCUGACUGAGAGUAAAAUUCUCCAUCAUUAACUCGCAAUUAUCUAUCAUUAACUCGUGCCUUCCUGAUUGAUUGCUUAACGUAGGGUCCAAGUCCUCUGGAUCAUGUUCGUUCUAAAAAUCACGUUCCCGAAGGUUUCAUUCCGUUUGGACUCAGUUUGAUAUUCUUUUUCUGUGAAACCCUAAAAUAGGCAAAAAACAGCAAUUCUGGGAUGGGCCUCCGAUUAAUAGGUUAGUCCCAAAAAUAAUAUAAAAGUGUAUAAUGAAGCCCAAUAAUGUCCAAAACAGGAUAUAAUAUAGCAUGGAACAAUUAAAAAUUAUAGAUAUGUUGGAGGCGUAUCAAGCAUCCCCAAGCUUAAUUCCUGCUCGUCCUCGAGUAGGUAAAUGUUAAAAAUAGAAUUUUUGAUGUGGAAUGCUACUUUCCAUAAUUUCAAUGUAAUUCUCUUAAUUGUGGUAUGAAUAUUCAUAUCCGAAAGAUUCAAGACAAAAGUUCAAUAUUGACAUAGAAAUAAUAAUACUUCGAGCAUACUAACUAAGCAAUUAUGUCUCUUCAAAAUAACAUGGCCAAAGAAAGUUAUCCCUACAAAAUCAUAUAGUCUGGCUAUGCUCCAUCUUCACCACACAAAGUAUUUAAAUCAUGCACAACCCCGAUGACAAGCCAAGCAAUUGUUUCAUACUUUUGGUGUUCUCAAACUUUUUCAAUCUUCACGCAAUACAUGAGCGUGAGCCAUGGACAUAGCACUAUAUAUGGAAUAGAAUGGUGGUUUGAUAAGUCCAUUUUGCAUCAUGCUUUUAUAUCGAUAUUUAUUGCAUUAUGGGUUGUUAUUACACAUUAUGUCACAAUAAUUAUGCCUAUUCUCUCUUAUUUUAUAAGGUUUACAUAAAGAGGGAGAAUGCCGGCAGCUGGGAUUCUGUGCUGGAAAAGGAGCAAAUAUUAGAGACCUAUUCUGCACAGCUCCAAAAGUCCUGAAACUUCACGGAAGUCAUUUUCAGAAUAUAUAAAAAAUACUAAGCGCAAGAAGUUCACCAGGGGCCACACCCUGCCCACGAGGGUGGGGGCGCGCCCUACCCCCCUGGGCGUGCCCCCUACCUCAUGGGGCCCCUGGUGGACCUCCGAUGUCCAGCUUCUGCUAUAUGGAGUCUUUUGAUGAGGAAAAAAAAUCAUAAGCCAGCUUUCCGGAUGAGACUCCGCUGCCACGAGGCGGAACCUUGGCGGAAUCAAUCUAGGGCUCCGGCGGAGCUGUUCUGCCGGGGAAAUUUCCCUCCCGGAGGGGGAAAUCAUCGCCAUCGUCAUCACCAACGAUCCUCUCAUCGGGAGGGGGUCAAUCUCCAUCAACAUCUUCACCAGCACCAUCUCCUCUCAAACCCUAGUUCAUCUCUUGUAUCCAAUUCUUGUCUCCAAGUCUGGAAUUGGUACAUGUGGGUUGCUAGUAGUGUUGAUUACUCCUUGUAGUUGAUGCUAGUUGGUUUAUUUGGUGGAAGAUCAUAUGUUCAGAUCCUAUAUACGUAUUAAUAACCCUCUGGUUAUGAACAUGAAUAUGCUUUGUGAGUAGUUAUGUUUGUUCCUGAGGACAUGGGAGAAGUCUUGCUAUUAGUAGUCAUGUGAAUUUGUUAUUCGUUCGAUAUUUUGAUGAGAUGUAUGUUGUCUCUCCUCUAGUGGUGUUAUGUGAACGUCGACUACAUGACACUUCACCAUUAUUUGGGCCUAGAGGAAGGCAUUGGGGAGUAAUAAGUAGAUGAUGGGUUGCUAGAGUGACAGAAGCUUAAACCCUAGUUUAUGCGUGGCUUCGUAAGGGGUUGAUUUGGAUCCACAUGUUUCAUGCUAUGGUUAGGUUUACCUUAAUACUUUUGUUGUAGUUGUGGAUGCUUGCAAUAGAGGUUAAUCAUAAGUGGGAUACUUGUCCAAGUAAGGGCAGUACCCAAGCACCGGUCCACCCACAUACCAAAUUAUCAAAGUACCGAAUGCGAAUCAUAUGAUCGUGAUGAAAACUAGCUUGGCGAUAAUUCCCAUGUGUCCUCGGGAGCGCUUUUCUCUAUAUAAGAGUUUGUAUAGGCUUGUCCUUUGCUACAAAAAGUAUUGGGCCACCUUGCUGCACUUUAUUUACUUUUGUUACUUGUUGCUCUUUACAAAUUAUCUUAUCACAAAACUAUCUGUUACCUAUAAUUUCAGUGCUUGCAAAGAAUACCUUGCUGAAAACCGCUUAUCAUUUCCUUCUGCUCCUCGUUGGGUUCGACACUCUUACUUAUCGAAAGGACUACGAUAGAUCCCCUAUACUUGUGGGUCAUCAAGACUCUUUUCUGGCGCCGUUGCCGGGGAGUGAAGCGCCUUUGGUAGGUGGAAUUUGGUAAGGAAACAUUUAUAUAGUGUGCUGAAAUUUACUGUCACUUGUUACUAUGGAAAGUGAUCCUCUAAGGGGCUUGUUCGGGGUAUCUUCACCUCGACCAGAAGAGCAAAGAGUUGCUCCUCAACCUAUUGAACCUACUGAAAAUGAAAAUGUCUACUUUGAGAUUCCUUCGGGUAUGAUAGAAAAACUGCUAGCUAAUCCUUUUGCAGGAGACGGAACAAUGCAUCUUGAUGAGCACCUAAUAUAUGUGGAUGAAGUUUGUGGAUUAUUUAAGCAUGUAGGUGUGCCCGAUGAUGUUAUUAGGAAGAAGGUCUUCCCUUUAUCUUUGAAGGGAGAUGCAUUGACAUGGUAUAGGCUAUGUGAUGAUAUGGGAUCAUGGAACUACAAACGAUUGAAAUUGGAAUUUCAUCAGAAGUUUUAUCCUAUGCAUCUUGUUCAUCGUGAUCGCAAUUAUAUAUAUAAUUUUUGGCCUCGUGAAAGAGAAAGCAUCGCUCAAGCUUGGAGGAGGCUUAAUUCAAUGUUAUAUUCAUGCCCCAAUCAUGAGCUCUCAAGAGAAAUGAUUAUUCAAAAUUUAUAUGCUCAGCUUUCUGAUAACAAUCGCACCAUGCUUGAUACUUCUUAUGUUGGCUCUUUUAUGAUGAAGACUAUUGAAUUCAAAUGGGAUUUAUUGGAAAGAAUUAAAUACAACUCUGAAGAUUGGGACCUCGACGAAGGUAAGGAGUCAGGUAUGACACCUAAGUUUGAUUAUGUUAAAUCUUUUAUGGAUACCGAUGUUUUCCGUAAAUUUAGCACUAAAUAUGGACUUGACUCUGAAAUAGUAGCUUCUUUCUGUGAAUCUUUUUCUACUCAUGUUGAUCUCCCUAGGGAGAAGUGGUUUAAAUAUCAUCCCCCCAUAGAAGUAAAAGUAGCUGCACCUAUUAAAGUUGAAGAAAAUACGGUCACUUAUAAUGAUCCUAUUGUUCCUACUCCUUAUGUUGAGAAACCACCUUUUCCUGUUAGGAUAAAAGAUCAUGCUAAAACUUCAAUUGUGGUUCGUAAAAGCAAUAUUAGAACCUAUACACCUCCUGAGCAAGUUAAAGUUGAACCUAAUAUUGCUAUUGUUAAAGAUCUCUUGUCUGAUAAUAUUGAUGGGCAUGUUAUUCAUUUCUGUGAUGAGACUGCUAGAAUUGCUAAACCUUGUGCUAAAGAUAAACAUAGACCCGUGGUAGGCAUGCCUGUUAUUUCUGUUAAAAUAGGAGAUCAUUGUUAUCAUUGCUUAUGUGAUAUGGGUGCCAGUGCCAGUGUUAUACCUCAUGACUUAUACAAAGAAAUUAUGCAUGAUAUUGCACCUGCUGAGAUAGAAGAUAUUGAUGUUACAAUUAAACUUGCCAAUAGAGAUACUAUUUCACCAAUUGGGAUUGUUAGAUAUGUUGAAGUCUUGUGUGGGAAAACUAAAUAUCCUGCUGAUUUUCUUGUUCUUGGUUCCCCACAAGAUAGCUUUUGUCCCAUAUAUUUGGUAGACCCUUCUUGAAAACAGUUAAUGCUAAGAUAGAUUGCGAAAAAGAUGUUGUUACUAUUAGUUUAGGUGAUAUGUCUCAUGAGUUUAAUUUCUCUAAAUUUCGUAGACAACACCAUGAAGAGGAAUUGUCGAGGAAAGAUGAAAUUAUUGGUCUUGCUUCUAUUGCCGUGCCUCCUAGGAUCCUUUAGAAUAGUACUUUCUAGACCAUGAAAAUGAUAUGUUUACGAAUGAAAGAAGGGAAAUAGAGGAAGUAUUCUUUAAACAGGAACCCAUCCUGAAACACAAUUUGUCGGUUGAAAUCCUAGGGGAUCCUCCUCCACCCAAGGGUGAUCCCGUGUUUGAGCUUAAACCGUUACCUGAUACUCUUAAAUAUGCUUAUCUUGAUGAGAAAAAGAUAUAUCCUUUUAUUAUUAGUGCUAACCUUUCAGAGAAUGAAGAAGAGAGAUUAUUGAAAACUCUGAAGAAGCACCGUGCUGCUAUUGGAUAUACUCUCAAUGAUCGUACGGGCAUUAGUCCCACACUAUGUCAAAACAAAAUAAAUUUGGAGAAAGAUGCCAAACCAGUUCAUGAUCACCAACGAUGGCAGAAUCCUAAGAUGAAAGAAGUGGUAAGAAAGGAAAUACUAAAGCUCCUUGAGGCAGGUAUAAUUUAUCCCAUUGCUGAUAGUCAGUGGGUAAGUCUUGUCCAUUGUGUCCCUAAAAAGGGAGGUAUUACUGUCGUUCCUAAUGAUAAAGAUGAAUUGAUUCCGCAAAGAAUUAUUACAGGUUAUAGGAUGGUAAUUGAUUUCGGCAAAUUAAAUAAGGCUACUAAAAAGAUCAUUACCCCUUACCUUUUAUUGAUCAAAUGCUAGAAAGAUUAUCCAAACAUACACAUUUUUGCUUUCUAGAUGGUUAUUCUGGUUUCUCUCAAAUACAUGUGUCAGCUGAUGAUCAAUCUAAGACCACUUUUACUUGCCCGUUCGGUAUUUUUUCUUAUAGACAUAUGCCUUUUGGUUUAUUUAAUGCACCUGCUACCUUACAAAGAUGCAUGAUGGCUAUGUUCUCUGACUUUUGUGAAAAGAUUUGGGAGGUUUUCAUGGACGAUUUCUCCGUCUAUGGAUCCUCUUUUGAUGAUUGCUUAAGCAACCUUGAUCGAGUUUUGCAGAGAUGUGAAGAAACUAACCUUGUAUUGAAUUGGGAGAAGUGCCACUUUAUGGUUAAUGAAGGUAUUGUCUUGGGGCAUAAAGUUUCUGAAAGAGGUAUUGAAGUUGAUAAAGCUAAGGUUGAUGCUAUUGAAAAGAUGCCAUGUCCCAAGGACAUCAAAGGUAUAAGGAGUUUCCUUGGUCACGCCAGUUUUUAUAGGAGGUUCAUUAAGGACUUCUCAAAAAGUUCUCGGCCUCUGACUAAUUUAUUACAAAAAGAUAUACCAUUUGUUUUUGAUGAUGAUUGCAUAGAAGCAUUUGAAAUACUUAAGAAAGCAUUGACCUCUGCACCUAUUGUUCAGCCACCUGAUUGGAAUUUACCUUUUGAAAUUAUGUGUGAUGCUAGUGAUUAUGUUGUAGCUGCUGUUCUAGGGCAAAGAGUUGAUAAGAAAUUAAAUGUUAUACAAUAUGCUAGUAAAACUAUAGACAAUGCCCAGAGAAAUUAUGCUAGUACUGAAAAAGAAUUCUUAGAAGUUGUAUUUGCCUGUGAUAAGUUCGGACCUUAUAUUGUUGAUUCUAAAGUAACUAUUCACACGGAUCAUGCUGCUAUUAAAUAUCUUAUGGAAAAGAAAGAUGCUAAACCUAGACUUAUUAGAUGGGUUCUCUUGCUACAAGAAUUUGAUCUGCAUAUUAUUGAUAGAAAGGGAGAUGAGAACCCCAUUGCAGACAACUUGUCUAGGCUAGAGAAUGUUCUUGAUGACCCACUACCUAUUGAUGAUAGCUUUCCUGAUGAACAAUUAAAUGUCAUAAAUGCUUCUCGUGCUACUCCAUGGUAUGUUGAUUAUGCUAAUUACAUUGUUGCUAAAUUUAUACCACCUAGUUUCACAUACCAGCAAAAGAAAAAGUUUUUCUAUGAUUUAAGGCAUUACUUUUGGGAUGACCCACAUCUUUAUAUAGAAGGAGUAGAUGGUGUUAUUAGACGUUGUGUAUCUGAGCAUGAACAGGAACAGAUCUUACGCAAGUGUCACUCCGAAGCUUAUGGAGGACACCAUGCUGGAGAUAGAACUGCACACAAGGUAUUGCAAUCCGGUUUUUAUUGGCCUACUCUCUUCAAGGAUGCUUGUAAGUUUGUCUUGUCUUGUGAUGACUGUCAAAGAAUUGGUAAUAUUAGUAGACGUCAAGAAAUGCCUAUGAAUUAUUCACUUGUUAUUGAACCAUUUGAUGUUUGGGGCUUUGAUUAUAUGGGACCUUUUCCUGCCUCCAAUGGAUACACACAUAUUUUAGUUUCUGUUGAUUACAUUACUAAGUGGGUAGAAGCUAUUCCAACUAGUAGUGCUGAUCAUAACACCUCUAUUAAGAUGCUUAAAGAAGUUAUUUUCUGAGGUUUGGAGUCCCUAGAUACUUAAUGACUGAUGGUGGUUCACAUUUUAUUCAUGGAGCUUUCCGUAAAAUGCUUGCUAAGUAUGAUGGUAAUCAUAUAAUUACAUCUCCUUAUCACCCACAGUCUAGUGGUCAAAUAGAAUUGAGCAAUAGAGAACUCAAAUUAAUUUUGCAAAAGACUGUUAAUAGGUCCAGAAAGAAUUGGUCCAAGAAACAUGAUGAUGCAUUAUGGGCCUAUAGAACUGUAUAUAAAAAUCCUAUGGGUAUGUCUCCGUAUAAAAUGGUCUAUGGAAAAGCAUGUCACUUACCUCUCGAAUUAGAACAUAAGGCUUAUUGGGCUAUUAAAGAGCUCAAUUAUGAUCUCAAACUUGCCGGUGAGAAGAGGUUAUUUGACAUUAGCUCACUCGAUGAAUGGAGAACCCAAGCCUAUGAGAAUUCCAAAUUGUUUAAAGAAAAAGUUAAAAGAUGGCAUGACAAAAGAAUACAAAAGCGUGAGUUUAAUGUAGGUGAUUAUGUAUUGCUAUACAACUCUCAUUUAAGAUUUUUUGCAGGAAAACUUCUCUCUAAAUGGGAAGGUCCUUACGUUAUCAAGGAGGUCUAUCGUUCCGGUGCCAUAAAAAUCAACAACUUCGAAGGCACAAACCCGAAGGUGGUGAACGGUCAAAGAAUCAAACAUUAUAUCUCAGGUAAUCCUAUAAAUGUUGAAACCAAUGUUAUUGAAUCCGUAACCUCGGAGGAAUACAUAAGGGACACUUUCCGGAACGUUUCAGACUCUGAAAAGGAAUAGGUAUGUGGUACGGUAAGUAAACCGACUCCAAAACCGUUCUAAUGGCAAUUUUCUUCCGUUUUGGAAUAUUUAGAAAAAUAGAAAAAUAAGAAGCAAUCCGGGAAGGACACGAGGGCUCCACGAGGGUGGCUUCGUGGGCACCUCGUGUGCUCUCCGGACUCCGUUUUCUUGCACGAUACGUAUUUUGGUCGGUAAAAAUUCAUUAUAUCAUCUCCCGGAGGUUUUGACUCCCGUAUCACGCAAUUAUCCUCUGUUUAUGUUUCAAGUUGUUACUGCUACAGAUUAGAGCAAGAUGUAUUCGCAAGAGUCAGUCGAGGAGAGCCGGGUGUCUCAUCCGGCACCGAGAUCAAUGACAAACAACAAUGUUGACCACUUUGGGCCAGCAACGGAGGAAGAGAUGGAGGCUGAUUUGAAGAGGAUAGAUGCCAUGGAGGAGGAUCAAGAAGUCACUUCCCGCUUCCGAGCUGGAUUCACAAUGCAGGAACUGCAGAGUUUGGCUAUCCCAAACUCGGUUAUCCCUUCCAAUGUUAGAUUUCUUUCUUAUGAGAAUAUGAAAAAAAGAGUCACUGGUUCUCCCGCGGCUAUGCAACACCCUUGGGUGCAGGAAGCUUUGGCUGUUACAGGAAAACUUCGAAAGGAAAUAAUGGACCUCAAGCAGCAAGUCAAUAAGCUCGAGGAGGAGAAUCGUAACCUUAGGGACAUCAUUGCCAAGAAUAUCACAUCACCAUCCCCGAAAAAGGAAACAUAAUCAUAAGGGUAUGGGCACUCCCCUUGGCAACUGCCAAGCUUGGGGGAGGUGCCCCGGUAUCGUAUCACCAUCACUUUUAUCUUUACCGUUUUUCUUAGUUCGAUCCUUUUGAUAAUAUCUUGAUCUAGUAGAAUAAAGUUCUUAGUAUGAUCUAGUUGUGAGUUUUGCUUUAUGAUCCUUCUAUGUAAUCGAGUCCGUGAGCUAUAUAUAUAAUAAAGAUUAGUGUUGAGUCAAGGGCUUGAUUAUUUUGCCAUGAUCUUGAGUGAAUAAAACAAAAGAGAAAGAAUAAAAAGAAACAAAGAGAUCAUAUGGACCUUAUGGAGAGUAAUGAGCUCACAUAGAAAGAGCAUGAUGAAUAAAAAUUGUUGAGAGUUGACAAACAUAGUUUUGGUCAUCGUUGCAAUUAAUAGGAAGUAAUAAAGAAAGAAAGGUCUUCACGUAUAAAUAUACUAUUUUGGACAUCUUUUAUGAUUGUGGGCACUCAUUAAAAUAUGACAUGCUAAAGAGUUGAUAUUGGACAAGGAAGACAACGUAAUGAGUUAUGUUUUCUUACAUCUGAGAUAAACUAUAUUGUCAUGGAUCAUCCAACAUGAUUGAGUUUGUCUUUCCCCCUCAUGCUAGCCAAAUUCUUUGCACUAAGUAGAGAUACUACUUGUACUUCCAAACACCCUUAAACCAGUCUUGCCAUAAGAGUUCACCAUACCUACCUAUGGAUUGAGUAAGAUCCUCCAAGUAAGUUGUCAUCGGUGCAAGCAAUAAAAUUGCUCUCUAAAUAUGUAUGACUUAUUAGUGUGGGAGAAAAUAAGCUUUAUACGAUCCUGUGAUACGUAAUAAAUAAAAGCGACGGACUGCAUAAUAAAGGUCCAUAUCACAAGUGGCAAUAUAAAGUGACGUUUUUUCGCAUUAAGAUUUUGUGCGUCCAACCAUAAAAGUGCAUGACAACCUCUGCUUUCCUCUGCGAAGGGCCUAUCUUUUACUUUUAUCUUCUACCUUGCAUAAGAGUCAUGGUGAUCUUCCCCUUUCCUUUUUAAAUUUUAUCUUUUGGCAAGCACAUCAUGUUGGAAAGAUCCUAGUAUAUAUGGCUAAUUGGAUGUGAGUUUUCAUGAACUAUUAUUGUUGACAUUACCCUUGAGGUAAAAUGUUGGGAGGCAAAACUAUAAGCCCCUAUCUUUCUCUGUGUCCGAUUAAAACUCCAUACCCAUAAGUAUUGCGUGAGUGUUAGCAAUUCUGAAAGACUAUAUGAUAGUUAAGUAUGUGGACUUGCUGAAAAGCUCUUAUAUUGACUCUUCCCUAUAUUAUGAUAAAUUGUAAUUGCUCCAAUGACUGAGAUUAUAGUUUGUUAGUUUUCAAUUAAGUUUAUGAUUCAUAUUUGAAAUUGUGAUUGAAUUGUUACUCUAGCAUAAAAGAUCAUAUGACAAUAAUUAUAAAAGUUGUCGUUCUAAGAAUGAUCAUGAUACCCUCAUGUCCGUAUUUUAUUUUUAUCGACAAGUCUAUCUCUAAACAUGUGGACAUAUUUUUCGAUUUCAGCUUUCGCUUGAGGACAAGCGAGGUCUAAACUUGGGGGAGUUGAUACGUCCAUUUUACUUCAUGCUUUUAUAUCAAUAUUUAUUGCAUUAUGGGCUGUUAUUACAAUUCUCUAUCGAUUGAAACCUAGCUAAAACUAAACAAGUGAAAAUGCCCGGGCUGUAGUGCCGGCGCAAAAGCUUCAGAGAGAUGUAAGGGGCACUCGCAUUAAACGAGAUAUAGUCAUCGCAUGGUCGAAUUGUCUACAGUUUUCUUUUUUGAGACAACGAAGUGUCCACAGUUUGCACAGGGACGACUGCAUCCAGCGAUAAUGGGCCAACCCAUUUUACUGCUACGAUGUGGGUUUCCAUUCCGGUUUUGGGAACUUUGGGAAGGUGUGUGAAGUAGUUUUUUUUUUGUGCUGUUUUUUUUUAUCCUUCUCUUUUUAGUUUCCAUUUUUUUGUAUUACUCUUCAGGUUUAUUUUGAAAAAUGUUAAGAAAUUUAAAAUCUUUGUUUGAAACUUUUAAAAUGUAUUGGGUUUAUUUUAAAAAAUGAGAUUUAAUGUUUUCCAAAAAAAUAUAAAUUUAAUAAUUUUCAUGUUUUCAAAUAUUGUUCAAGGAUUCUAAAAAUGUUCAUAAAUUUCAAAAAAAUCUUUUUUCGAAUUUUGUUUACAAAUUCAAAAAAUGAUUGUGUUGUGUUCCGAGAAUUAAAAAAAUGUUCGAAAUAGAAAAGGAAAAACAAAAAAAUCGAUCACUACAGUAGCCAGAUCGCGAACUGAGUGUGGCUCAGUGUUUAGGUUCCUUGCGGUGGAAACAGCCGACCAGCUUAGGUCCUUGCUUGAUACUGGUGAACGUUUUUCCAAGAUUUAUUUUGAUGCUCAUUGAAUGGGAGGAGACAUUUGAAUUGACUACGAGUCGCCUGUGAUGACUUCGUUGAUCUUAAAAUGUUGUGUCGGCUCUUAAAAGGAGCUGAUAGGGCGAGUGUGUGCAUGUGUUCUUAGGUAUUAUUGUACGUGCUUCGCACCGUAACCCAAGUCUGCUACAGUAAAGGACUGCUAUAGUGCCAACAGCCGUGUUACAUUGAAAACUUUGCUACAGUUCCGCGUGCUGCGCCUACUAGGGCCGGCCCAGUCGGGCUCCUAUCAGUGCGUCACUCCUCUAUUUGCCGCAUUCUGCGUUUCUUGCACCAGUUAAAUUAGUCAGCACUCACGUGCCCCUCUCACGUGGGUUGGCUCAACGCUAACUUCCUUGGAUUGAUUUUAUGGUUGACCAGUUGGCCAUUGACCAUUGCCCUUUCAUAAAAAACAAAGAUUUGAAAAGUUCAUUGGUUUGCAAAAAAAUAUUUGUGAUUUUGACAAAAAGUUCAUGAAUUUUAAAAAAACAUACUUUUCAACAAAAAAUUUAUUGAUCUUGGAUUAAAAAUUUGUGAAUUUAUAAAAAUCAUGUAUUUGAAAAAAAUUGUGAUAUUUGAAGUUAAAUUUUUUAUAAAAAGGUUCAAAAAUUUCAAAUUAUUUCCUGAUUUAAAAAAUAUUUAUGGAAUUUUCUAGAACCUAUGGAUUAGAAAAACAUUCAUGGAUUUUAAAAAAGCCUGCCAUGUUGGAAAAAGAUUAUGAAUUUAAAAAAGGUUUGUGGAUUUAUUUCUAAAAAAUAGCGAAUUUUAAAACUUCAUGGGUUUGAAAAAUAGUCCAUGAUUUUUUAUUCACGCAUUAAAAAAAUCAAUCAUGGAUUUAAAAACAUAAAAAAAAGAAAACAAUAAACAGAAGUAAAAAUAAAAAUGGAAGAGAGAAAGGAAAAAUAAAAAUAAAACUAAAAAGGAAAAAGGAAAAAGGAAAAAGGAAAAAAUGUAAAGAAGAAGAAAAAAAUUAAAAGCCAACAAAACCUGUCCCGAAAAGAACGAGAGAACAACCAAGGAAAAGGUCCCAAACCGGGGGAGAAAAACUAUAUGGGCCGGCCCACUGUGGACGAUAGGGAGCUUUAAGCAUUGCUGCUUGGAGAAGGAGGAAACUAUAAAGUGGUCUUCAAAGAAAUGCAAACCUAACUAGAUUAUGGACUUCAUAAUCUAGUUAGGUUUGCAUCUUCUUUAGAUGAGGGUGUCUACUUCAUAGAUUAUGGACUUCAUAAUUUGAGCCUCCCACUCCCAUGUCCCUGGCCAGUCGUGCCCCCGGCGGCCGCCCAUGCCAACGCCUACUCCGGCGACGCUUCGGCCGGUCGCUGCCGAGCUUCUCCGCCUACUCCUUGCUUGUGCAUUGUGCCAUCGAGCGCCUGCUCCAUCGUUGACUUGUUUACGAUUGACCUUCAGAAUCAACCCAACAACUGCAAGUAUGGGUAUGUAGAUGAUAAUAUACGGGGACCUACAAAAUAUUUUAUGGGAUCUAUUCAGUGUGUCUUUUUCAACCUAUACUACAAAUUGAAGUGUUUGAUCACUUUUAUGGAUCUGUCAGAGAUGCCCUAACCGGCACAAAAGACACCGAAUAGUUGUUGUUUUUGCUGGUUGUUGUUUUUUGAGACAGCUUACCUGGUAAAAGGCACCGAAUAGGAAAUGGCUAUGUUCAUGCCGGCACCGAACCGAACGGGCGUCGGCACGAGCGAGCAACCCCGUGGCCGUGGACGAAAGCCACUACGGUGGUGCUGGUGCGUCCUAGCAACACGAGGUUUGGUGAUGUUUCAAUAUAUGGAGUGAAUUUCAUUUUGUUACCUCAUAGGUCCAUGUUUGUGUGCAUCUUUUUGGUGCAGAAGCCGGGAGUUUCAAAGUUUUUUUCUAAAAAAAUAGUUUCUAGUUUUUUUAUGACGUCAUUUAUCCCAUUUAGCAGGCUUAUCACGUUUUUGCCUAGUUUAAGUAAAUUUGUGCCACUGUUUACCUUUUUUAAAAUUUCCUCCCCAUUUUUUACCUCUUUUAAUUUGUUUGCCACUCCUUUAUACUCCCCUAAAUUGUGUUGGAUCAUAGCAACAUACUCUGCUUCGGUUAGAGCAUCUCUAGCAGACCCCGUAUAAAGCCGCGGCCCGUAAAAUAACCACCAAAAUACAGAUCGGCACGAAAAAUCAUGCCCGACCAUACACUGUAAACGCGUCUGACCCGUAAAGAUCUCCCUCAAUCUUUAGAUUCACGGGGGUGGGAGGCCGACUCGAGCUCGGCCCCUACCCAUAGCGAGGUUUGGUGCGAAGAAAAUUUCCGUGUGGCCGUUCCCGCUCCCCCACCUCUUCGAUGCCAUUGCCCCCGCCACCGCCCACUCCGGCGCAUCUUCCCCGGCAGUUCUUCUCCGCCAUGGAAGCCUCCCAGCCGUCCCCCGUCACCGUUGAGAUCGCGCACGCGCAAUCCCCUCCGACGGAUCUCGUCGCCGGCCAUGUUGCUCCCGUCGUCGCUCAAAACACCACUGCGCCUGCCCGCAAGCGGCAGGGCAACAUGGUCGUGCAGGGUGGGAAUCCGGCUGGCCCCGCCGAGAAGGCCCGUGCUCUGGCGCCAACGCCGUUGUGCGAUCCCUGUUGGCAGCGGAAGGUCGGCAAGGUCUUGGCCAUGAAGCGGAAGAAGAUUCCUACAACGAGGCCAGCGCCUUCAUCCACUCCCUCCGCCCCAGCAAGAGGUUCCCCGACGAUGCCGUUCAACGGCACUGCUUCCACCGCUAGCAAGGUGUUUGACGAAAUGGCCGAAAGGUAUGCCUCUUAGGUCCCUUCAAUUUUCUUUGCUUUUCGCCAUAGCGGUAGCUCGUGACUUAAUGUCGCUCACUAUAGCGGUGGUUCGAACAAUGCCACUGCCGAGGUCGUGAACUUGUUGGACACCAAUGCGUUGACAUCGGUCAAGCCCCGUAAAAAAGUAUCUUCUGUGAAUAUCUUUUUUACGGGCGGCCCGCAUAGCCCUUUUCCAUGAACUGUAUACGUUUUAUGCGGGUCCGCGUUUUACAGGAUCUGCUAGAGAUGCUCUUACACUUUUCUGCAGAAACGAACAACGAUCCACCCCAUCACUCCUGCUCUCUGUCUGUAACUGACAACAACUUUCAGAUGUAUGUAAAGAUGAAAUCCAAAGCGAGCAGCUAGAUUCCAUUAAGCUCUAUGUCCGCGUAGAAAAGCAUACGCAAAUCGAAUGACUCCACUUCCUUCAGCUCUCUUGAUCGCAGCUACGCUGCAUGCAGCUAGGCAGCAGCAAACCAGGUUUGUCGCCCCAGCACGUACGCACAUGACAGUCCCUUGUGUGCAAGAGAUGCUUAUCUGGAAACGGCACUUGCUAUUGCUAGUUAAACAGACUUCUCUUUUGCUGUGGAUUGGUUAACAGACCUCUUCCAGUAUGCAUUCCAAUGGAAACGGCAUAGCUAAAAAGAAGAACACUUCCUUGUGUCCAGGGAGUGCUUAUCUAGAAAUAGCACUAGCAGUUGCACUUGCUAUUGCUAGAUAGACAGAAUUCUCUUUUGGUGUGCGUCAGAGUAUCUCUAACCGACCCCUUGUAAUUUAGGCCUCUACAAUCUUUUAUUCUUUAACCUUUUAUAUUUUUUGCUUUGAAAAAUUGUGCUCCCUUCAAAAACUUAACUCCCUCACAAAUUUUUAUCACAAAUUCAUUUACUUUUAGGCCAUCGAGUUAAACUUCACUGCUUCAUCAAACGACAUGUUGGUCACAUACUUCAUCAGUUCUUUGCUAAGAGCACUAAGCCAAAGAAAACUACACGAAAAUUUACACACUUGAAUAGAAACACCACUUCCUUGACCGCUUCUACUAGUCUGAUCAAUACCUUUUUUAUCUCCUGUUCAUUGCCUACAUUCUUACUCUUCUCCGUUGGCUUUUCAAGCUGGCAUACUUGUAUCUUCUCUGUAGUCUACAUCAACAUCUAGUAGAUUUCUCUUUAUCAAUAUAUAGAUCAAUGUACUCUUAUUUACAAUACCAUCACUUGCAUCCUUUCUCCCUAAAAUUAAAAGCAAACAAUGAGUUUAAAAUUGUGACGAAUCCGAAGAACAACCUUACAAAAUUGAACUCACUCUGUCGAUUUCACACUUGUAGAAAACCCAUCCGGAUGUUUGGGUGUUCUCGAGAUGUGGCACAUACCCAACCCCAAGUAAUCAUCACACUUGAUGACCGGUAGAGGCUCGCUGACGAGCUGCUCGACGAUGGCUGAGCCCGAUCGACCGGCGGAUGUGGUUGCGCCGGCGGUCGGUUGACGGGUGAUAGGCAAACGCCGAGAGGAGCAGGACAUACCGCCAGGCGGCGCAGAGCUUUUGAGGUGGAUGCGCGGUUCAGUCGUCGACAAAUCAAGCCAAAAUGCGAUGGCGCCGGGGCCGGGGUGAGUUGAAUCCGGCGUCGGUAGCGACGGGCAUAAAUGUGUUGAUUUUAAUAUUUUAAAUAGUGGAUUAUGUCAAAUAGCGGCGGACUUUCAAAUCAGCUAUAGCAAAGUUAUAGCAGGCAACGAUGGCAAGAAGUGAUCGGAUCGAAGUGGGGAGGAGCGCGGUGGGUGCUACGUGGUGUCGGCGGGACGUGUGGUGGCCGAUGAGACAAGUAUAUUCCAAAGUCGGUGCAGCUGUGGUCUAAUACCGAUAAGGGAUUGGGUAGGAACGGCUUAGAAGUGCAAAACUGAACUUUUAUUCCUCGAAAACUGUAUAAGGGAUCGGUCAGAAGAUAAUAGACCUCUUUCGUGCUUUCGCAUGCGAUGAAAACGACAUAGUUAAAAACACUUCCUUGUGUCCAAGGAAUGCUUAUCUAGAAAUAACACCAGCAUGGACUCUCAUUCGCGGAAUGCUAUUUUUCUCCACCACUUUCGCGAAUGUCAUUGCACAACGAAACUUUGCAAGCACUUGAAAAAUUCAACAUUGGUUGCCAUAAAAAAAUUCAUAAUUUUUUGAAAACCGUUUCCGUUAAUUUUCUUUUUAUUGCUCAGGCAGGUGCAUCGAUGCUCAUGAGCAGAAGAGGACUUUCGCCAGCUACAACGCCCAGAUAGAGCCCAGCAGGGAUUAUCCCAGAGAAACUGACUAACCUAGAUGAUCAAGGCACGCCAACAUACCCAGGCACACUCCCAUGAUUGCACUUGCAUGCCGUCAACAAAUGAUAAUCCUGCCCAGCGCAGAUUGAAGUUCGGCGUCCUCAGCCUAUAAAUGCCCAAUUUUUCGGAGGCAACCCUCUGUGCAACCCAGCUGACCAUCGAUCCAUCUCUCGAGAUUCCAGAGACUCCACUGCAAUCCAGCUCCCCAUUGACCCGUCUCCCUGGAGACUCCACGACGCGCGAAUGGCGCUGCCCUCCGAGGAGGUGGUGGCCAUACUCGCGCCGAUCAUCGUGUACUGGGUCGCCGCCGGCGUGUACACGGUGCUCGGCCGUGUACUGGCUGACCACAGGCUCCACUCGAGGGAGGAGGAGGAGGUCAGGAACCUCGUCCCCAAGCGUGUCGUGGUCCGCACCGUCCUCCUCCAGCACGUUCUCCAGGCGGCCAUAGCCUUCGCCGUCUUCAAUGUAAGCGCAGGUGUACCACAUUCAUCGAUGCUAGCUACUCAGGUGGCCGUGCAACUGAACUCAAGUUAUUACUGGACGCAGGUGAAGCGAGAAGAUCGCCGGGCUGCCGACGCCGGCACCGGCGCCGCCACUCCCGCCGUGGCCGUCGUCUGCUGCCAGUUCAUGGUCGCCAUGGUGGUCCUCGACGCGUGGCAGUACGGGUGGCACCGCCUGAUGCACAGCAGCGGCCUGCUGUACCGCCAUGUCCACUCCUGGCACCACCGGCUGGUGGCGCCGUACGCCUACGGCGCCCAGUACAACCACCCGCUGGAGGGCCUGAUACUGGACACGGCCGGCGGCGCGCUGGCGCUGGCCGUGACGGGGAUGGCGCCCCUGACGGCCGCCGCCUUCUUCUCGUUCGCGACUCUCAAGGCCGUCGACGACCACUCCGGCGUGCUUGUCCCGGGCAACCCGCUGCAUCUCCUGUUCCGCAACAACACGGCCUACCACGACGUCCACCACCAGGUUCGUGGUGGCCGCUGCAACUACGCGCAGCUGUUCUUUGUGGCGUGGGACAAGCUGAUGGGCACGUACGUCCCUUACGAGGUCGUCAGAGCUCCGCACGGCGGACUGGAGGCCGUGCCGUUGAAGAAGAAGUUGAAGACCUGACGGACGGUGCCAGGACAUGAUCUUCGUCAGGGGAGCUGCGCGCGUCCCUUCGCUGGAGCGUGAGUCAACCACACCACUAGGCAUGCACCUUUUCAGUAGCGAGGAUCAUGUCACCAACUCACCAUGUCAAGUCUGUCAACGUCCGUAUGAUAGUAAGGGCUCGUGAAUCAUGAUCCGGACCGGUUUGUAACAACGAAUACUUUGCCUGGCGUCGAUCCCGACCGUGUGUACUAAAAUAUGUUUGUUAUGGCAGCCAAUUAGUGUUAAUAACGAAAUUCAGAAAUUGACGUGAGGAUCCCGAACGACGGGAUUUGCCAUGAUAAAUCGAACAUUUUUUAUAACAAAUUUAGUUGAUGUGAGGAUGACAAGUUUAGUUGACAAGCACGGCAAUUCCCUGGCAAAAAACAAAUUGAAGAGGAAUUGACAUGCUUAUCAACUAAAUUUGCCAUCCCUCCUGUAUAUAAAUUGCCACAAAAAAAAUUAGAUUUGCCAUGGGUAAAUCCCAGACGUACAAGACUUAUCGGCCUUCAAUAUUUUUUUAGUGUUCAUUAUGCAUAAAUUUGGUUGCCAUCUUUUUUUGACAAAAUUUUCAUUGUUAUUUGGCUAUUCUUUGUGGUCAAAUGACAACCAAGGAGCUCUAGCCAAAAAAAUAGUUACUUUUUUGUCAACCAACAUUUUCUGUUUGCCACGGGCACCUUGGAUGUCCAAAGAUGGAGAAAAUUUGCACGAGCAUAUUUACAUUUUUUUUUCGCCAAGAGCUCCUCGAGUGUCCAAACAACACAAUUUUUACAUGAAUCCGUGUAUUUUUUAUGCCAAAAGAAUUCAGUUUUUUUAAUUCACUGUUCAUCAAACACAACUUAUGUGGCGAUCAAACCGGUGAACAUGUUCAGAAUCUAGUUCUGGACGAAACUUAUCUGGUUUAAAACUUGAAGGACCAAAUGUCUACCAAAAAACCUUGAGGGACCAAGUCUACACUUUUGGGGAACUUAAGGCACCAAAAACAUACUUUUCCCAAUUUAUUACUAGUGAUAUUCAAACAGUAAGCCUGAAGAUUCUAGUUAUCUCUUGGGACCCCUUAUAUAAUACCUUUUCUCAGAAAUCCAGGCCAUAGAUAAUACCUUGUCCACUGUGGUGUCCAAAAGAUGAUCAUGAGGAAAAUACUUUGCUUUUGACAAACCGACACAUACGUAAUAGAAAAUUGAUAUGAGCCUCCAAGCCUGUCUACCCAAAAUUUCUCGAUUAAACAGUUCAAGAUCUCAAAAACCAAUUCCUCGGUGACCUUUUGGUUUAGCAAUCUUGACUCAAGACAGCCAAUGAACUUUAUCAGGUCUUUUUCAUCUCCCAACCAAGAAAUAUUAUUUGUGUCAAAUGAGCAUGAAACCCCGUGUGAAAUUACCCACAGUACAAAUACGAAUAGCGGACCUAUUUGAUGAUAAUUUCCUUAGAUCCACUAGAUAAAAACUUUUCAAUACAGUCAACAUGAUGUUUAAGAAACUUAUCUUCAAUGCUUUUGAAUUUUCCCGCUUUCAUGCACCCCUUCGAAACUGGGAGCUCCAAUUACUUAUCCUCAAAACUUUCCAAAGAAUAUUUGUAUCGAAACAAAACCAAGCAUUUGUUUGGGCUCGGGAAUCGGCCGAUACCCAUCUCACAUUUCUUCAAAAUGUGCUUAACUUGCAAGGCUUGAUCUAAAUGGCACGAAAGAAAAGGUAUUAUUAUGUGCUUACAAGAGAUGAACUACCCCACGCUUUGUCUACAUAUCCUAAACUCCUGCAAGACAAGAGACAAAACGUUACAAAAAGGAACAAAUAAGGUCAGAGAGGUUGCCUUGGCGUAUCCCUUGAUUAGGCCCAAAAGACUCACACAACUACCCACGAAAUCGCACAUUAUAUUUUACAGGCAUAACACAUUGCAUGAUCGAGUUUAUCUGAAUGGCUAAAAAUCCGGAGGCAUUAAGCAUCAUUCCAAAAGCACCAAUCCACAUGGUCAUAGACCAUUUUGAUCUCCAUUAAGCGUCUUUUUUUCAUCUCCCUACCAAAAAGUAUGAUUUGUGUCAAACCAUGACAAAGACCCACAGGAAAUUUAGAUAACCCAUAAUGUAAGUAUGAAGAGCCUAGGUGAACUAUUGGAUGAUAAUUUCCUUACUUUCACUGGAUAAAUAUUUCUCGGCCCAAUCGGCAAGGUAUUUAAGAACCUUAGCUUUCACAUGCUUUAGAAUUUCCCCGCUUUCAUGCACCCUCAUGGAUUGGGAGCCGCCAAUUACUUAUCCUCAAAGCAUUCAGCUAGAAUUUGGAGGGAAACUGCACCUGGCGUUCCAUAAAACAUUUGUUUCCAAACAGAAUCGAGCAUUUAUGAGUAAAUGGCACUCGCGGUCUAAGAACUUGGUCUGCGGGUGCACUUUAGUCACACAACUUGCAACCUGAAAAAACCCGUCACAGAACUUGCGUUGCUGGUGCAUUUAAGUCACACACGCGAGCUGAACUGGUCGGACGCCCGGUUUUCUCUGUUCUGAGGUUACGGGCGGCGCACAUGGCAGCUGUGGAGGGUUGGAUUUUUGCAGAUAGCCCCCUGAACUCUCAUGUAAUGCCGCAUUGUUACUCCCUCUGUUCGUUGCCGAUGGGAGAGGAGACAGGUAGCGCUACUGCCUCAUCGAGCUCGUCGGCGGCCAGGCCGCCGUCGCCGACGGUGUGGUGGCGUACAAGACACGCCCGCGGAAAUCCUGCUCGAGGACCGGCAUGGCAGUCGUGCGGGCGAUGGCAACCCGCCCGCGCUCCGGCCGCAUCUUCGGCUCGGCGCGCUGCCACAUCUCUUGAGGAAAGACAUUCGAGCCCCGGAUGCGAGGCCAUGCACGGCGGGCGCCAAAGACCUCGCUUCACCGACGCCGGUACUGGUACAUGCAUAUGUGCUGAUCUUAGUUGGUCACUCACUUGCGCGUCCGCCAUGAUUCAUGUGGAUUCACCCUGUUUUCAGUUGAGCUGAAGCUUUUCUCUGCUGCUUCUUCUUCUUCCUCCUCUUCGAUUUGCAGGAGAGUAGUAAUACUAUAAUAACAAAUCCAAUGCAAGGAGGAGGAGGAGGCCCUGCGCCUCACGAUCAUCAGCCCAAGAGACCGCCGCACCACUCCAUCGACAUCCCGGCGGAGAGCAGCGCGCCCCUCACACCGACGGCGGCAGCAGAGGUAGAAGCUGUAGCAGCAACACCGGGCUCCAACGCCAGCAGAAAGUCCGGCUCAGAUUUCGUUCCGGCAAGCCGCCGGCGCCGCAGCACACGCCGUCCUUCAUGCUGAGGCGAACGGUGCGGAGCCUCCUGCCGGGAGGGGGCAGCUUCAAGUCGUCGGUCAGAGGCUAUGAGGCGUCCCUCUCCAGGCUCUUCAGCGGAAGGAUCGCUAGGACCUCGUCGCUCCCGGCGGCGGACGAUGGCGUGCUCUCGGCCUCCGUGCACGCCGCCAACAAGGCGCCGCCGAGUGUUCCUGCCGCCGCUGUAAGCAUUUUGAUCUAGUUUUAUUUUUCUUUGUUUGUAUUAUGACGACCAUGAACAUAUCCGAACUAAUUUGGUGGCAGGAGAAGACGGGCAUGCACCGGUCGCAGUCCCUCCCGAUGAACAUGAAGUUGAGCUCGCCCAAGAGCAUCAAGAGGAUGAACUUGCUCGACGGCGUGUACCGCGUCGUCCCUCCCCCCGUGAGCCCCCGCCGCCACCGCCGCGGCAAGCAAUGUCGUGCCGGACAUAGUCCCCAUAGAACCAGGUGGGUGGAUGCACAUCACUCUCCAACAUUCAGUCUGAAUUCUGCUGCUACCUCGGUCUAAAUUCCGCCACACAGAGUUCCUAAAACUGUGCACACAAGGUGCUAAUGGGUGACACCGUCUAGCUGCUCCAUGAGAAUGGAGGGAGUAUCAAUGUGGCAUUACGUGAGAGUUCAGGGGGCUAUCUGUAAAAAUACAGCCCUCCGCAUCCGCCACGUGACCUCGGAACAGAGAAAACCGGGUGUCCGACCGGUUCAGCUCGCGUGUGUGACUUAAAUGCACCCGCAACACAAGUUCUGUGACGGGUUUUUCCGAUUUGCAAGUUGUGUGACUAAAGUGCACUCGCAGAACAAGUUCUUAGACCGCGAGUGUCAUUUACUCAGCAUUUAUUUGAGCUUCGGAGUUGGCAAGUAUGCAUAUCAUAUUUCUUCGGAAUAUCCUUAACUUGUAAGGCUUGAUCAAAAUUGGCACGAAAGAAAAAGGGAAUACCAUAUGUGCAUAAGAGAUGAGAUAUUAUUCGCUGAUGAUUCCCUUAUACUCAUGAAGGCAGAUAUGAUUAAUGCAACCUCAUUAAGAUCAGUGCUUGAUGCUUAUUGUGCUAAUUCAGGCCAGCUUAUUAGUGAAGCCAAAUGCAGUAUUUUUCUCAGUCCAAAUGUUGAUGUGGAAAUAAAAGCCCAGAUGUGUACUGAACUUAAUACCCACACUGAAGCAAUUUCUGAAAAGCAGGACUACAAACUUUUAAGCGUGGACACAUUUGGAGAGUUGGCUCAGGAGAAAAAAUUAACAUUUGGGAGGACCAUUGGAUCCCAAAUAGUCAUUCCAGGAAAGUUUUUACCAGGAGGGGAAACUGUAUUUUGCGUACUGUUGAUGAGUUGAUUGAUCAACAUAAUGGUAGCUGGGACGAACAACUUAUCAGAGACAUUUUCUUACCCAUUGAUGCGAACAAUAUUCUUGCAAUCCCGUUGAGUCCACAUCUACAGGAAGAUUUUGUGGCAUGGCAUAAGACAAAAAACUUUUUGUUCUCUGUCCGUUCUGCCUAUCACAUUGAAUGGGAUCAUCAGUUCGGCGCACGAACUAGAAGAGAAGAUGGGCAAGGCUCUGCUGAACCGAACCCGGUGUGGGACAUUUUAUGGAAGCUGAAAAUUCCAAGUAAAAUUAAGGUGUUUAUAUGGAAGGCUCUGCAUGGUACAGUUCCAGGCAUGGCGAUUCUUGCUUCACGACACAUACCCGUCUCACCACAGUGCCCUAUUUGUCGGUCGGGUCCGGAGAAUAUUCGGCCCUUGUUAUUUACAUGCACUCGUGCAUGGAAGGUUUGGUCUGCGCUCGGGCUCCUGGAUAUCAUUGAUGAUGCACUAAUUGCAGACAUGUCAGGAUCAGUAGUACUUGAGCAUAUUAUUUGCAACCCAAACAAGAAGUCACCGGUCCUGGGUAUGUUAGGAUUGCAGGAGUCAGUAGCCGUUGCGUGUUGGUACGUAUGGUGGCAAAGGAGGGAAGCAGUGAAGGGCGAAACUGUAGCAGAUCCCCCCCGGACGGCCUUUGUGAUUCAGGCUGUAACAUCAAAUUUUGGAGCUGUUUCCCAUUCCAGUAAACCACAUGAAAUAACGUGGGAAAAGCCAAGGCGAGGAUGUUAUAAAUUAAAUACAGAUGCUGCUUUUCGCCAAGAUGGUUCGCGUGCAGUUGGGGUCGUCAUACGUAAUAGUGCAGGUGAGGCUGUAGCAGGAGCUGCAAGUCCUUUUCAUACGGCCUUUGAUAUUGACUCGGCGGAGGCCCUUGCACUGCUAAAAGGACUAGAAUUAGUUGAGAAGUUGGGCUGCACCCAUAUCACAUGUGAGUCCGAUUCAUUGGAGCUCAUUCAGGCAUGCAAUGGGGAGCUGGAGAUCUAUGGUCUUUAUUCUGCGACUUUAGCUGACUGCUUUGCGAGAGCCAAGAUGAUUGAUGGAGUUUCUUUCUCCCACUGCCCUAGGGAAGUCAAUCGAGUUGCUCACCUUCUGGCGAAGCACUCUUAUGAUACUUAGUCUGCAUUUGAUUGGGAUGGAGAUCCACCCAAUUUCAUUCUUUCUUAUGUAAUAAAUGAUGUAACUCUUUUGACUGUGAAAUAAAACACCGAUAGGUUUUCCCUUCAAAAAAAAGAUGAGAUAACCUGGGACUUUGCCUACAUAUCCUGAACUCAUGCGAUACAAGAGACAAAGCAUCAACUGGAAAAAGGAAUAAAUAAGGUGAGAGAACGUCACCUUGGUGUUUCCCUCGAGUAGGCUCCCCGCAACUGACACAUCACAUGAUCCAGUUUAUCCAAAUGACAGAGCCCCCUAGGCAUUAAGCAUCCCUUCCAAAGCACCAGAUCACAUGGUCAUAGACGUUGGGCAAAUCGCACAGAGGUCGACCAUAUCUAGUUCAUAGGAGAGCAUGGAAACAUUGAAAAGCAAUGAUGGUGUUCUAGAUAAUCAUUAUACCGAAGGCACGUCCCCCGAGCGUCGCCUCUGGCGCACGGGAGAAACCCUAACUGCGCCGCCAGCCGCCCCUCCCCGCUCCUCCCUUGCUUCGCCGCCGCCGGAUGGGACACCGGCGAAGCCCGCGUGGUCCCAGGGAAGGUGGCGGCGGGGCGUCCUCGUCGUUCUCGCGCAGAUCUCGCGACGGCGGUGGCGAUCCGCGGCGGCUGGUGGCGCGCGGCGGUGUUCCGCCGGUGGCUGGCGCCUGCUGCCCGUGGGGCGGCGUCCCUCACGGCGGCGGGGCUUCCCCUGAACGGCGCUUGGUGGUGGCCACGUGGCGGCGCGCGGGUGGGCCGGAUCUUGGCUUCCGGUCUGCGUCCUCGUCGUGGCAGCGCUUGCCGUUGCCCUCGGCCAUGAGGCGUGGUCCGGGACGGGCCGAGCGCCGGUGGUGCUGGCCAGGACGCACGCUGGCAGCGCCCUACUUCAUCUCGCGUCGUCUCGCUGGCCAAUGGUGGUGGUCAUCUUCUACGUCAGAGAUGGCCGGCCAGAGGCUUGGUGAUCGGAUCUCGAGAUCCAUCAUCUAGUCUCGGCUGCGAGUUGGGGAGACAUGGUUGCCGGUGAAAACCGAGCCGUUAGCAGGUGAUGGCGGCGUUCUACGUCGUUACCUUGAUGGAGGCAUCGUCGUGUAACUACUGUUGACCCACUCGUGCUGCUCUGAGGGAAACCCUAGGAUCUGGUGUUCCAGAUCGGACGAUGGCGGCACUGCGGUGUCGUUUCUCUCUUGGGAGCAUUGUUUGUGGAGCAGCGCUGGAAGUCAGAGGCAGGAGGUGGAGCGGCUUCGCCUUGCAUGGAGCUUCGAUGGAAAUGUUAAGUCAUGCCUGACCGACAGGUGCUACGCUUUGUCAUGCCUGGUCGGCAGGUGCUACGCACGACAGAUCUUCCAAAGACUUCAAGUUGUGUCGGCUGGUGGUACUUGGCAGCAUGGUGCUGAGGUGUAUCAGUGGCGACCGCGACGUGCACAGCUGUUUGCGCGCAGGGAGGAGGUGCCGUUGGGCGCGUGGUGGCGUCCGCGAUAGCUAGACUGAGCAAGGUUGAUGCAUCAGUACAGUUCUGAAGAUGGAGCGAUGGCAGUUGGCGGCAGCGGCCUCUGAGAGCACGCCGGACCGGCAAGACCCAUGCCCGACAGGCGUCCUGAAUGGGUUCUCAGGUCUUAGAUGUUAGGUUUGGCUGCGAUGUCUGUUUGGUAUUAGGCCCAAGCUAUCUGCGUCUCUUCAUCAACUGAAUAGGUGUAGCGACAGUUUGUUGCUUAGACGGCGGCUUUAGUCUUACUUUGAUAUUACUUUGUAAGGUCUUGGGAGAAUAAUUAAUAAAGUGGCUGUAUGCAUCGACGAGAUGCAGUGGUUGGGGGUCUAUAUCAGAAAUGAAAGAACUUUGAGUAGGAGAGAUCAAACCAUCCAAAAGAAACUGCACGGCCACCAAGCACUUUGAGAUAAUCUUGUGUAUGCCAUUGCAUAGAUUGAUUGGUCUUAAAUCCUGAACCUCGUCAUGUUUUUCUUCUUUAGGAUAAGAACAAUAGAAGUGCCGCUGACACCCUCUCCUGCAUAUCAUCAGAAAAAAAGUUCUAAUUACUCUAAAAAAAUCUCACCAGGAAAUGCUAAACCGCACAAAUAAUAUUCACUAAACACUUGCGUCUUUUUACAAGUGUUCAUAUGUUCGUUAAAGAAAGAUGAAUUUUAACAUGGUCCAUCUUACCUUCCCUCUCACAAGAGAGAUAAGGAAGGUAAAAGUUACUUAGACCCAAUACUUAAUGAAAUCAACGGCUCAGAUUUAUUAUAUACUUUUACCUCUUGUGUGAAAAGAGGAGGUAAGAGGGACCGUGUUAAACCUAUAAAAAAAAAUCAGGUUUUCAUAGUGAGACAUGAUAAGACUACCUAUGCUCGCCAUUUUCUUUUCACACUUUCAAAACUUCACAGUGCCUCGGCUCAAUAUAAUCAGGUUUUCACACUUUCAAAACUUCACAGAGCAAGCCGUCGAUCGUCGCCGGCUUGAGGCUAUCCCCCUAUGGACGCAGCAACACUCGCUGCCGCUGUCAUUGCCGCGACCAACCACGCACACCGCCGCACAGUGUCAGCCUGUCGCCGGACGCCGAUGGGGAACAUGACGAGCACAUCCCCUUGGAGCGUGGCCACGGCCGCUCCAACCUUGACGCCGAAAGGUGCGACCGCCUCUCGCUGUCGUCGUCUAGGGACCAGACGUCCACGUACGGCCACUCGGCCAGUGCCGACGCGGCGAGUGUCCCGCUCAUGUCGAACACGUUAUUCAAAGUCGAGAAGCAGAGCACGCAGUGCUCGCCGGAGGGCCGGUGGGGGUGCAAGCUGGACGGCACGACUCACAUGCAACCGAUGCACGGCAUCGGUGCUGAGCUGAACAGCAGUUUGAAGGAAAAUAACACCCAUAUCGAUCGAGGUAACAGAUCAAAUCAAAGCAAGCAAACUUAAUCCUCACCGGGACAAACUCUGUACUAACACUAGAGUACUGCCGUGCCAAUAGACCGAGCUGGCAAAGGUAGUAGUAAAUGCUGUACUGUGUCGAUCGAGUAAAGGCAGUGUAUGCUCUAUCGAGUAUGCACUUGCUGGUCACCGCCUGAAUGUAUCGAUCGUAGCGCAUAGCAAGCACAUCAACACAUCGAUCGACCGCGAUCAAAGCAUCCUCCCACUAUUCCAGCUACUAGUACUAGGACAAAACUAUCUCAUCAUCUGAUUUCAGUGGUGCUCUCUCCCUCCCUCCCUCUGGCGUUCCACUUCGCCCUUAUGAUGUUCUUGUUUCACUGCAUUUUGUUUUUCUCUAAAAAGGAGGAUAACACCUGGCGUCUGCAUCGAACCAUGCACACAGCCAUGCUUCACCGCAUUUAAUCACUAAUUUUGUAUAUGUCCGUGCUCUCAAUCCCCACAAUUCCUGUUACGGCUGAAUUUGACCUUGUUGGUCUUUUUGUUAAGGACCUGCAUACCAAGACGAUGCUUCGAUGUGACAGCCCUGAUGAUCUUUGUCCACUCGCUCAAUGCUCCGCUCUAGUUGCACUCUCCGUCGGCUUUAAUAUGUGGCAGUGGCACGCUAAUGUUCGUCGUAUCAAUGUAGUCUUCAUACCCCAUUGCCAGUAUGUUAGCAUCAGCGGGGCCAAAGUACAUUUUCUUUUUGCGGGAGCACUUUCGUGGAUACUCGCCCACACUAUUUAAGAUAACAAAUAUGUAUUAAGUACGUUGAUCGUCAAUUUAACCAAUAAAUUGCGGAUUUUGUACCACAAAAUUAUAUAAUUGAAUUCAUAGUCAAAAUAAGUUUACAAUAGUAUAAUUUUGUGGAAAUUAUCGAGUAAUGUUCACUCCUUUGCGAGUAUUGUACCACAAAAGUAUAUAAUUGAAUUCAUAGUCAAAAUAAGUUUACAACAGUAUUUUUUUUUACGGCUGUGUCAGUUAUUGAUCAAAGUGCGUGGCCUGUGAUCGUAGCUACAAAUAAGAUUAGAAUUUACUGGUGCAUACCGAGCCAACGUGUUUCGCAAACCGGGACACUUGGUACUCAUGUAUUUAUCGAGGACUAGGCUCAGUGCGUCACCGAGAUUAAAAAUCUUAGUACUCAUACUUGGAAGGCCGUAUGCAUCCCUAGUUGGUGCAAAGGCUGGGGAAGAGAAAUUCUCCCCCAAUUUUUAAGGUUGCAAUUCAAUGGGAAUCCAUCGCGACUACCUCUUGCGUCGCCCCCCUCGUGGCCGACACAGGAGGUCUCAGCCGCCGCCUAGUCCUUCCCAGCGCUCACCCUCCCUCCUCCGUUGCCGGUGGUCGGUGCGGCAAAACCCGUGCGUGCAAUGGCGGCGACGGAGGGCCUCUCCUCCUUCCCUCGGAUCCACAGACGGCGCGGGCAUCUAGAUCCGUGGGGUGCGUCCCUUCCCACGGCGGCUAGCUUGCGGUGAUGCACGGGCGCCCAGAUCCAUGGGGUGUGGGUCUUCCGGCAGCGUGGCGACUCCUAGUGGCGGCGGGCUCAGGCGAUGGUGUGGGCCGUGUGGCGGCGGAUCUCGUCGCUCCGGUCAUUGCGGAGGAAUCUGGACCUGGGGCGGCGGCCCCGAUAGGCAUGGCGACCAAGGCCCUGCCCUCCACCCCGACCCCAUGCCCGGGUGAAGACCCAAAAUCUCCUUAGAUUGGGCGGUGACGGCACUGCGUGUGUCAUGCCCUUCUUGUAGGCGCCGCCUGGGGCAUUCGGGUGCUCGGUUAGAGGAACUACGGGCGAAGGGGAUGGGACCAGUGGCAGUAAGUGGUGUUCACAAAGGAGGGGGAGCGUGGCAUCUGGCACGUCGACAACGGCGGGCCUCGGCAGCAGGAGUAGCGGGGUCUCGGCGGUGGGCGCGUGAUGAUGGAUGAGCACAUGAUUGUGGCAUUGUCUGAUGUCGACGUUAGCUAGGCCUGGCAAGGUCGGUGCGUCAGUACAACUCUAAAGAUGGAUCGGUGGAAGACAUAUGCGGCAGCCUCUAAGAGUGCACCCGACCGGUGUGUACCCCAGACCUGGCAAUGUGGCUUGGUUGGGGCCUUCGGUUUUAGAUGUUAGGCUAUGGUGCGAGGUCUGUUUGGUAUUCGCCUCAGACUAUUGGCACCCCUUCAUCAAGUGGAUGGGAGUAGCGACAGAUGUUGCCAAGAUGAUGGCUUCAGACGUAUUGAUGUACUACUUUGUAAGGACGUUAUGAAUAAUUAAUAAAGUGGUUGCAUGCAUCGCCCAGAUGCAGAGGCCCGGGGUCUUCCUCCUUUUCUAAAAAGGAAGAAAUAACUCUGUCCAAACUCAAAAUACGAUUGAAAAUUUUGCACUCUCCAAAAGUGCUCAAAACCUUGAUAUGAGAUCUUUGCUGUUUAGAACCGUCAAUGCUACGUAAACAUAUACUCCCUCCGUUCCGACAGUCGGGACGGAGGGAGUAGUUGUUUAUUUUGCGCAAUGGAGUCUAAACUUGAUGAUAGUACUACUGUUGAAGACAGAGAAUCAUAUAUGAAGGUGGACUGUACAUUUUGCAAAAGUCUAUGUAAAUUCAUGGUUAUUCACAUUGUUCAAGAUUUAAGUCCAUUGAAUUAUGUCACUGGACAGUGUUCAGUACUGAUUACUAUUCGUGAACUAUUGACUAAACAUUUUGCAACAUCAAGCAUAUCUUAUCAAUACGCGGAAACAAAAAUGAUGUUGUUAAACAUUGGACAUUUUUCAGUCUACCAGCAGGAACUAGCAUCAUCAUUCAGCACAUGAAACAUUGGACAAUUUUAUCUUUGCACAAGUGAUUACUAUAAGCGAUGCUACUUCAGUUGUCAAUUUACUAUUGAACUUAAUUUGCAAAAUUCAUUUGCCAACUACUAUAUUAUAAAUUUUUAGAGAUAUACUCCCUUCGUUCCUAAAUAUAAGACUGACUCUAUAUGGAGUAAAAUAAGUGAAUCUACACUCUAAAAUACGUCUAUAAACAUUUAUAUGUAGCCCGUAUUAAAACGAAAAUGCCUGAUGGCGCUCAAGCUGCAUGGAGCUCGGUAUCAAGGCCACCAACAUGCUUCGUGAUCAGGCCAUAGACCAUAUUUAUUGCAUGUAUUCAGGUUGUUAGUAAUAUAUUUUAUGCCGUAUUCAGCGACAGUGUGCAGUGCACCGCACUUCUACAAGUAUACACGCAAGCACAUCCCAAGUCGUCCUUGUUGUACAUGCACGGCAUAUGCGUCACGUGCCAACCAGUGCGGCGAUAGGGCCUUUGGUGUGCAAGCACAUCAACACAUCAGAAAAAAGAGCUCUACAUAUGCACUUUCCUUUGAUUCUUUUUUUUCGCAAUUUUCCUUUAAAAUUUGUUCGGGUAGUUGGACUAAAAAAUUUCAGAUUUUCUGGAAUGAUCAUGAUGAUCUGCAUAGAAAAUACGAAAUAAUCAGGGAAGUAUGGAAAAUAUAGUGUUUUCAUGAGUGAACAGCUUUUAUAUAUGUUUUUUGUACUCGUGUAAAACUAACAAAUGUUGUUGGCAAUUCGCCUUCAGCCGGCAUCCGUGUGUAAAAUUGUGAAUUCCAUGUUGACCGUAGCAUCAUUUGCAUCGGGUGCACCACAUAUGUUCCAUGCAUCGGAAAGUAUCUCAGUGCAUCUUGAGAUUUGAUGCCGUCGGUGACACCACCUAAAAUUAUCGUCCUCUAACAAUCAGAAAAAUUACAAAAAGAAAAAUGAAAUCCAGGUAGGACUCACCACAUAACUAUACUACAUGUCAAGUUUUCAUAUUUAUUUUAGAAGCACACAUGUAAAAUUCAUUUUCUCAAAUACGCACGAAAGUGCAUAUCGUAUAUUAAAGGGGAGAAAAGGGUGCAGAAACCCAACCACUUUAGUGGGAGUUGAUUACAUGGUAGCCCACCCGCUAUCGGGCGACUCAUACAAUUUAGAGAACUCUUCGGAUAAGCCCACCUAGACAGUACAUGUAAAAUUCCUGUACGGUGAACAAUUAUUUUUUGCUGGUUUGAGCUACUACCAUGAAUCGUACAUGUAAAAUUCAUGUACGGUGAACAAAAAAAAUGUUAGUCAUGUAUUUUAUAAUUUUGUGUCGUGUACAUUUACAAAAUGUUCAACGUGUAUUUAGAAAUGGUCAUUCUAUUCUUAAAAAUAGUUAACUGAAUAUUUAGAAAAACCUAUGCCGUGUAUCUAGAAAUUGUUUAGCGUGUAUUUUAAAAAGUUUUCAUCGUGUACUUUAGUAAUAUGUGACCAAAUUUUCAAAAUUGCAUAAUUUUGUAUAAAUACGCGAAUACUUCUAUUCUUGCAAUACAUGACCAUCUUUUCACUUUCUAUAUAUAAAACUUAUUAUUUUUUCUUCAAAAAAUUAUAGUAUGUGGGAAAGAAGUUUUUUCAUGCACAAUUUUUCCUUUUUGAAUCAUGCACACAUACACGUGUGGUGUGCUAUGUAAGUGCAUCUAGUGCCCCUUAGUGAUUUUGGUGUAUUGAAGACUUAUAGGUUAAGGGACUAAUGCAUUUGUGAAUGUACACAGGUCUAUAAGUCUAUGAGGAGUUUGAUAUUUACAGAGAAAGUCGACCCCUAAAAAUAAAGUUCUUCGACUGAAGACUUUGGCUUUUUGAAGACUUUGAAAGUGAAGAAAUUGGUGUGACUUUGAAGACUUCGUAUUCAUUCGAGGAACAUGAAGCGUGAAGACUUUUGUUUUCGUAGUUUCAUUCUCUUUUUCUUGAGUCAUAGGAAACACUGUACUCUUAAAGGGGGUCGAGGAAAUACUAAGGAAAAAUUUCCAUGUGAUGCUCAACUCAAAAUCCUACACCUGCCAAUCCAUUCGAGUGAAGCCAUUGGAAAUCUCAUACAGUCCAGUCAUAUUCUUCAGUGACGGAGACGAAGUUCUUCUGGUCUCUGAGGAAUUUGUUCUGACUGAGGAGUUAGGAAUUCGCCAGUGCGGAUUGCCUACACAGUGAGGAACAUGAUAGCCCUGAGGAUUUUGCUACUCAAAAUUCCAACCGUUGUUGUGCUAUGCGCCAGCUGUCCCAAAAUAUCUAUCCACCUAACGGUCAUAUCAUUGAAGGGCAUUUAUGUCUUAUCAUGUCGGGCUGCUCCCUAGGCUAUAAAUAGCCGCCCCUACAACCACUAGCUGGUUGGCUGCUCCGAGAGAAACUGACACUUGUCAUUUGAGAGCAACCCAUCCUCUGAGGACUUUGAGCCAAAAUCAUCAAGUGAGGAAAAACCCAAACCCAAACACCUACGAACCCCAAGUGAUUGAGCAUCACUGAAGAGAUUGAUCCUGUGUGGAUCCGACGCUUGUUACCUUUGAAGACUGUGCUUCUUCCAGACGGUUAGGCGUCAUGGUCUAGAGCAUUCAAGAGGAAUUGUGGAUCACCGAGUGACCAAGUUUGUGAAGGUUUGGAAGUCGCCUGAAGACUUACCACGAGUGAUUGGGCGAGGUCUGUGUGACCUUAGCUUAAGGAGAAUACGGUGAGGACUUGGUGUCCUGAGCUGCGUGCUCAGGACUGGGUGUCCGAGACUGUGUGUCCUCGAGUUUAAAUACUCAGCCGCUCCAACCAGACGUACAACUGAGAUAGCAGUUGGAACUGGUCUACCAAAUCAUUGUCUUCACCAAGCUUACUGGUUCUAUUUCCUCAACUCUUUCAUUUCCUCAUAACUGUGUUGUGUGCUUGUUCAUAUCUGUGUUUGAAGACUUUGACUGAAGACUUUCUCAAUUUUCUCAAUUCAAUUUCUUCAGUUUGUUGUCUUCAUCCUGUGUUAUCCUGUGCUUACGCUUCCUGUACUAUGUGCCUGUCUUCAUUUCAUCAUGAUGACUAUGCUUGUGUUCUGUUAUGUUUACUUCUGAGUACUUAUUCCGCUGCUAGUAGUUCUUCGCUAAGUAAUUUCCUCAUCGGCAAAUUCCUCAGUGAAGAAUUUCAUAAAAAUCGCCUAUUCACCCCCCCUCUAGUCGAUAUAACGCACUUUCAAUUGGUAUUAGAGCAAGGUACUCCCUUGUUCUAUGUAAUUUUGGUUUAACCGUCUGGAGUUUUAGUUAUGUCGACCGCAGGUAUGAAGAAAGUGACAUGCCCCAUCUCUGACGGUCAUGAGUAUCCCAGGUGGAAGGCCAUGAUGAAGAAGCGCCUCAUGGCGAUAAACAGCGAGCUGUGGACCGUCACUGAGAUUGGUCUGACUGAUCUAUGCAAGAUGGCGGAAGCAGAUGAUAUUUGCAAGUACACUCUUCUCAACCUCACGGCGAAGGACGUCAUCUGCUCCUAUCUGUCUCAAAAUCAGUUCAAAAAUAUCAUGCAUCUCGAUCAUGCGAAGCUUAUCUGGGACCGUCUCUCUAAGGUCUAUGAAGGUCAUCGAACAUGUCAUGAUCCUUGGUUUGAGGACUGCAAGGAAUCUCUCAAAGCGAUGACAUUCGAAUCAGAAUCAUCAUCUUCUGCAUCAUGCAUUAUGGCAAAAGAUGCUGAGGUAACUGAAUGCUACCUAUCCGAGUCUAGUGAUGAUGAAUCUGGUGAUGAAUUUGGACCCAGCUAUGUCAAACUUGCUUCCCUUGCCACUAAACAACAAAGAGCUUUGGAAAAAGUUCAUUAUAUGCUAAAUAAGAGCGAUGAUAUGUUGGGUGAAGAAAUGGAUCAGUCAAAAGCUUUGGCUAAAAGUCUUCAGAGACUUCAUACUAGGUAUGACACCCUUCAAGAUCAUCAUAACACUCUCUUGUCCGAUCAUGAGAAGCUUUCUUAUGAAUUUCUUCAAAGAAAGCAAGAUUUUGAGAAGCUAAGAGUGAGUUAUGAAGACCUUCAGAAGGAGCGCGAUUCAUUACUUUCUCAACAAAUCAGCGCUUCUCAGGAAGAAUUUGUUCCUCCAUGCUUGAAGUGCAUUGAACGUGAAUCUGUUAAUUCUUCACCUGAAUGUUCAAAUGCUGCUAAUGUUUCAAAUUCUUCACAUGCCUCUGCUAUCACUAAUUCCUCAUCUGAGGACAUUUCUAGUAUCACUGACGAUGCAGGGCUGAAGGAAUUGUACAUGACAGGCAUGUACAAAAGCCUCAAAGGGCAUCGGACUCUUUGUGAUGUGCUUAAAAAGUAGAUCCUCAACAGGAACCCUAGGAAAGAGGGUAUUGCUUUUGAGAGGAAACUCAAUGCCGAUGGUACAUAUUGGAAGCCUGAGCAGGACCCCAAAACUACAUGGGUUGCUGCAAAGGGACCUCCAGUUGAUCCAUCUAACUUAUCUGGAUUUGCAUGUGAAUCUCCUCGUUCUGAUGAUGAGUCAUUAGACUCCAACUAUAAACUAUUCAAAAAUCAGAAUGGUGAAGUAUUUGCUAGAUAUGUUGGCACUAACUGCAGGAACGGUUCCUCUAUGAAGAAAAUCUGGGUUUUCAAAAGAUGCCUUGAAAGUCUUCAGGUGAAUGUCAUCAUGACACCACCUGUGAACAAUAGGAACCCCAGAUCAAAUUCUUCAUAUGGACCAAAUUCUUCAUAUGGAUCCAAGUCCUCAUACGGACCAAACUCUUCACAUGGAUCAUAUUCCUCAAAAAGAUUAAAGUUCUCAUAUGAACAUCAUCGUGCUAACCCGUCUGUUUCACACGGAAGAUCUAAGGAUUAUGGAUAUGUGCAUUAUUCUUCAAAUCAUUAUGUCCAUAAGUCCUUGAAGAAUUUCUCUGCCUACUCUUAUGCUUACUCUAACCCCUCUUAUAUGAAACGAAAUGGACUGGCUUCUAUGCCAUCCUUCUCGUAUGGAGCUCGCAGAAUGAUGAACUCUUUGGCACCCCUUCAGAUGUGGGUGGUGAAGAAAUAAAACUAAUCUCUUCUGCAGGGUCAGGUCUCCAGAUGUACGUAAUCGUCUGAAGAAUUUGCUGGAGACCUGAGUAUGCUUGAAAGGACGCAGGCUAAUCAUGAAGAAAUGAACUUUCAUUUCUCACGUCCUCAUACUGCUUUAUCUGUUUUUCUGCUUGAUGAAAUUGAUCUGAUGAAUUGAUGUCAUAUUCUUCACUAAUGAAGUAUAUGACUUCGUAAGUUGCACUAAUUCAUCUGCAAGAUGAUCAACCCAAAGCCACUGAGUGGGUCCUCGAUAGUGGAUGUAUAAAUCACAUGACUGGUGACAAGAAUCUAUUGAUGGAUGCUUCAUUAUCUCCGUCGCAUCUGAAGCAUAUCAUCUUUGCCGACAAAGGCAAAAGUCAGGUAUUGGGUCUAGGUAAGGUUGCGAUCACAAAGGAUCGACACAUGGACAAAGUCAUGCUUGUCGAGUCCUUAGGAUACAACCUUAUGUCUGUCUCAAUGCUUUGUGAUCUUCAUAUGGUUGUUGUCUUUCACAAGUAUCGUUGUGUUGUGGUUAUGGAAGCUGACAAUUCCAAAGUCUUCGAAGGCUUUAGGAGAGGAGACCUGUAUAUUGUUGAUUUCUCUACAUGACCACAACCAGCCGUGUGCCUACUUGCACAAGCUUCAGAAGGCUGGCUCUGGCAUCGACGACUUGGUCAUGCAGGCAUGAGGAAUUUGCACACGCUUGCAAAGAAUAAGCAUGUCAUUGGCAUCGAGAAUGUCAAAUUCCUCAAGGAUCACCUAUGCGGAGCCUGUGAAGCUGGGAAGAUGACAAAGGCCAAGCAUCCAUCGAAGACUAUCAUGACCACUACUCGCCCAUUUGAAUUGCUUCACAUGGAUCUCUUCGGUCCUAAUCAUUAUUCUGCUGUUUCAAAUGAAGCAUCUCAAUAUGGCUUUGUUAUUGUUGAUGAUUACUCUCGUUACACAUGAGUACACCUUGUUACUUACAAACAUGAAGUGCAGGAAGUCUUCAAACGAGUUUCCUCGAGGGCUUCAACCAACUUUGGUGUGAAGAUCAAGCACAUCAGAAGUGACAAUGGCACUGAGUUCAAGAAUUCUGGUCUCGAUGACUAUCUUGAUGAACUUGGUAUUACUCAUGAGUUAUCUGCUCCUUACACUCCUCAGCAGAAAUGGCGUCGUGAAGCGCAAGAAUAGGACUCUUACUGAGAUGGCUUGCACUAUGCUUGAUGAACACAAAACGCCUCGUCGUUUCUGGACUGAGGCAAUUGAUACUGCGUGCCACAUCAUCAAAAGAGUAUAUCUUCAUAAAUUUUUCAAGAAGACUGCCUAUGAACUCCUCACUGAUAAGAAACCCAAUGUAAGUUAUUUCAAAGUCUUCGGUGCUAAAUGUUGGAUUAGAGAUCCUCAUCACAACUCAAAAUUUGCACCGAAAGCACAUGAAGGUUUUAUGCUUGGUUACGGAAUGGACUCGCACACCUACAGAGUCUUCAACAACGUUCUUCACAAGGUUGUUGAAACUAUAGAUGUGCGGUUUGAUGAAACUAAUGGCUCGCAAAGAGAGCACUUACCUACUGUGAUAGAUGAACCAGCACCUGAGAAAACUAUCAAGUUCAAGGCUACUGAGGAUGUCAUUCCUACUGAAGAAUCUGCUGAAGAAUUCAUUCCAGAACAUGAAGAACGUCGAGCUAAUGCACCUGAAGAAAACACUGGAGAAAAUGGUGCUGAAGAGAAUAUUGAUCAAAUUCCUCAAUGACAACCAGCUCAUACUCGCAUUGCAAAAGAAGUGCAAGUUGAAAAAAUCAUCAAUGACAUCAAAGCGCCAGGUCCUCUCACACGCUCAAAAGCUUCACAUUUAUCUAACUUUUGUGGGCACUAUGCUUUUGUCUCUAUCACAGAGCCCACUAAGGUAGAUGAAGCAUUUCUGGAGUCUGAGUGGAUUCAGGCCAUGCAAGAAGAAUUACAUCAGUUCGAGCUCAACAAUGCCUGGGAACUGGUCAAACAUCCAGAUCCUUGCAAGCACAAUAUCAUUGGCACAAAGUAGAUAUACCGCAACAAGCAAGAUGAAAAUGGCAUUGUGGUGAGAAAUAAGGCACGGCUUGUAGCUCAAGGCUACACACAGGUUGAAGGAAUUGAUUCCAAUGAAACUUUUGCACAUGUUGCUAGACUUGAGGCUAUUUGCAUAUUACUUGCUUAUGCUAACCAUCAUAAUAUCACUUUAUAUCAAAUGAAUGUGAAAAGUGUAUUGCUCAAUGGUAAGCUUGAGGAAGAAGUAUAUGUUGCUCAACCCCCAGGUUUUGAAGAUCCAAAGAAUCCUGACAAAGUCUUCAGACUCAACAAGGCCAUCUAUGGCCUCAAGCAGGCCCCUCGGGCGUGGUAUGAUACCUUGAAGGAAUUCUUCAUGAAGAGAGGCUUCAAACCCGGUUCACUCGACCCUACUCUUUUCACUAAAUCUUAUGAUGGUGAAUUGUUUGCGUGCCAAAUAUAUGUUAAUGAUAUUAUCUUUGGUUGUACUGACCAAUGUUAUAGUGAUGAAUUUGCCUAUAUGAUGAGUGAAGAAUAUCAAAUGUCUAUGAUGGGAGAGUUGAAAUUCUUCUUAGGUCUUCAAAUUCGUCAACAACGCAAUGGCAUAUUCAUAUCUCAGGAGAAAUACCUCAAGGACGUACUGAGGAAAUUCGGCAUGCAAGAUUGCAAAGGCGUAAAAAUUCCUAUGCCCACAAAUGGCCAUCUGUGCACUGAUGAAAAUGGUAUUGACUUCGAUCAUAAGGUAUACCGCUCCAUGAUUGGCUCUUUAUUGUACUUAUGUGCAUUUAGGCCAGAUAUAAUGCUUAAUGUUUGCAUGUGUGCCCGAUUUCAAGCUACAACGAAGGAAUCACACCAUAAGGCUGUGAAGCAUAUUCUUCGAUAUCUAGCUCACACACCAACACAUGGAUUAUGGUACCCCAAGGGCUUGGCUUUGAUCUCAUUGGAUAUUCUGAUUCUGACUAUGUUGGUCAUCGUGUGGACCGCAAGUCAACAUCUGGUACAUGUCAUUUCCUCGGACGAUCUUUGGUCUGUUGGUCCUCGAAGAAACAGAACUGCGUAUCACUAUCUACUGCUGAAGCUGAUUACACUGUCGCUGGUUCUUGCUGUGCUCAAUUGCUAUGGAUGAAGCAAACUCUCAAGGACUACGGCGUCAACAUGAAGAAUGUGCCUCUCUUCUGUGACAAUGAGAGCGCCAUCAAGAUUGCUCACAACCCAGUUCAGCACUCGAAGACUAAGCACAUUCAGAUUCGUCAUCAUUUUCUUCGUGAUCAUGUGUUGAAGGGCGACAUUUCUAUUGAGCAUGUGAAGACUGAAGAACAUCUAGCCAAUAUCUUCACAAAGCCCUUGGAUGAGAAGAGAUUUAGUUAGUUGCGGUGUGAGCUAAAUAUCCUAGAAUCUUCGAAUGUUCUUUGAAAAGGACACUCAUCCUAACACUUAUGCAAAAUUGAUGACUUAGAUGUGCAACACAUGAAGAAACGUUUUUCUUCAAUCAAUGAAGAAUAACACUCUUAGUAUGAAAAAAUUAACGAAGAAUUUGAUUCUCAGAACCCUACGAUAAUUAUACGCGAUGUCUGAAAUCAUCAUCCUUAUACGGUGGGUCACGCCACCACCAAAAGUUGAAAUUCCUUAGUUGUUCAUAUUCUUCAACUUUGCAUUGUCUUCACUGUUUCCGUCGUUUUUCUUCAUUGGCUAUAUAUAUAUAUAUAUGAGUUUAUGUCCUCUACAACAUUCACUUAUUGCUAAUUCUUCAAGUUGGUUUUUCUGCUAAGUGAAUGUGAUCGGACCCUUCCCUAUCUAUGCUAAACUCAACGCAAUCUGUUCACAAAUUCUUCAUGUGUGUUCUAUUUGAAACUCCUUCAAAAUCUUCACUGUGUCCUUGUCAGCUGAAGAAAUUGCGAACAGAACUUUAAAACCUAUCUUAUCUAAAUUUUCGGCUUUGCCGCUCAAACUGUUCCGCAUCCCAUGAUACACUUAUCCAUUCACCCACGAUCGUACAGGAUCUCCACCUCUCAGUACGUGGGUGACACAUGUCAAGCGAAUGAGAAGGGUCAGGAGCAUGUUCGUCCAAUUUCUUCGGGCGAACAGUUUUUCACCGUGGCUAUAAAUACCCCUCUUCCCCUUCCUCACUUCUUUUACUCCGCUCGACCUCUCUCCAGCUCGACUUUCUCAAACCCUAGCGCCUCCGCUACUUCAUCGUCGCCGGUGAGGAAGAGCUUCACUGUCUCGACCUCGUCGCCGCCGUACUCGUGCCGACCACGGAAAUCUUCACUCCACCGCCGCCAUAGUCGUCUUCCUCCGCCAAGUUAGGGCGUGGAAGAUCUACACAGACGAACUUCACCUCUCCACCUCACUGUUCGUCGUUUUCUUCAUCCAAGGUAAUUAAAAAUUACUUUUACUGUUGUAACACCCCGGAUGUAACUUUCCCAAUUCGUACUCCAACUCUUGCCGUUUCCGGCGUUAAGUUAUUUUAUUUUCUCGGAUUCGGGUUUUUGUCUCCGUGUGUUGUUGUCGUUUUCAUGCAUCUCAUAUCAUGUCAUCAUGUGCAUUGCAUUUGCAUACGUGUUUAUCUCAUGCAUUCGAGCAUUUUCCCCGUUGUCCGUUUUGCAUUCCGGCGCUUCGUUCUCCUCCGGUGGUCAUUUCUAGCUUUCUUUCGUGUGUGGGGAUUAAACAUUUCCGGAUUGGACCGAGACUUGCCAAGCGGCCUUGGUUUACUACCGGUAGACAGCCUAUCAAGUUUCGUACCAUUUGGACUUCGUUUGAUACUCCAAUGGUUAACCGAGGAACUGAAAAGGCCUCGUGUGUGUUGCAGCCCAACACCCCUCCAUUUUGGCUCAAAACCCACCUAAGCCUUCUCCAUCAUGUAGAGCGUUCGAGCACGAUCGCGUGGCCGAAAACCGCACCUCAUUUGGACUCUCCUAGCUCCCUCUAUGCCUAUAAAUAGGUCCUCCUCGAAAAUCUCGGAUCCCCCUCCCCGAAACCCUAAAUAUCGCCUCCGCGCCGGCCGGACAUUGUCCGCACGGACCGGACGCGUCCGCGCCGCCACCACCGCCCAAUCCUGUGCCGCCACGUGGCAUCUCCGCCGCCAGCCGCCGCCGCAGCCCGGCGGGCCCACAGCGGGUCCGCCUGGCCNNNNNNNNNNNNNNNNNNNNNNNNNNNNNNNNNNNNNNNNNNNNNNNNNNNNNNNNNNNNNNNNNNNNNNNNNNNNNNNNNNNNNNNNNNNNNNNNNNNNNNNNNNNNNNNNNNNNNNNNNNNNNNNNNNNNNNNNNNNNNNNNNNNNNNNNNNNNNNNNNNNNNNNNNNNNNNNNNNNNNNNNNNNNNNNNNNNNNNNNNNNNNNNNNNNNNNNNNNNNNNNNNNNNNNNNNNNNNNNNNNNNNNNNNNNNNNNNNNNNNNNNNNNNNNNNNNNNNNNNNNNNNNNNNNNCGCCGCACUGGGCCGCCGCAGCCACCGCCGACCCCGGCCACCGCCGUCCCCGACCUCAUCUCCGGCCGGAUCCGGCCGCGGGAGAGCCAGAUCUGCCGCCGCCGACCCCGGCCGCCGCCGUCUUCAUCGUCUCCGGCGAGUCCGCCGCCGCCUUGGUUCGCGCGCCGGGUCAAACCCUAGAUCCGCGCGGGGUAAAUUUCUUCUAACUCCCGAAAUUCCAGAUCCAAGUGCUCCUGUUCAUAGCCUCGUAACUUUGCAUCCGUAACUCCGAUUCAUGCAUAUAGCAUAUCGAAAUGUUCAUCUCAGAGAGUACAUCAUUUCAUUCCAUUGCAUCAUUUUCAUUUGAGUUCAUCUUGAUGCCCGAAAUGCUGUUAGAAGAGGGCUACUUGAGUUAAUUGUCAGAUCUGCUGCUCCAUUUAGCUUUUUGUCAUUUUUGCCAUGAUUAUUGUGUGCAUGAUAUGCCCUGAUGUUCUACAUAUAUUUUGUUAAGGGUUUUGUCAUCUUUCCAGAGGUGCAACCCAUGUAUUUUUGUGAUGAGUGUGGUGACUAGUGCAAGCUUGCAAAGUGGUGCACUUGCUAAUUCUGUUUUCAGGGACUUAGCAAUUCCACUAAGUCCUUGAUCUGCUUAUCUCAUAUUGCCAUAUGUUCAUGUUGUUUCCAAGUGAUUCGUGCCUCUUUUGAGGAUGAUCAGUAAGGAUGUUUUGUUAAUCUUGUAGUGUUCUAUCCAUCCAUGUCUUUGUUUGCAAUUAUGAAGCACCCUAGCUUGAGUCAAUCGAGCUCUACUUUUGCUACUUUGUGAAUCUGGGCAGAUUGUCAACUGGUUUGUAAUUUUGUCGAUGAUGUUGUAGUUGAUCCGUGCAUGCUAUGCUAUUGUUCUUGCCAUGUCUAACUUGCAUUUUGUGUGUUCUUGGUAGAUGUAUGCUUAGCUUGUCAUGACUUGCUCCGUAGUGAGUGCAUCGAGCUCGUAAACAUGCCUACUUGAUAUCUGUUUUCAGCAUGCUCCAGUUUUCACUAAGUCUGUGACCUGAUUAUGUUUUUGCUAUGUUCACAUGCUUGCAAUUGUAUUUUCUGAUCCCUUUUGGCUCAAGGUCACUAAGGGACUUUUGUUAAGCUCUUCGAGUAGCUCCAUGCCAUGAUUUACUUUGCCAUGUUCAGGUCCUGUAGCAUGUAGUUUUGCUGCUCCCAAGAGUGCUACCUGAUCUAAAAUUCCAGACAAGUGUUAAUUUCACCAAGUCUGAGAUCUGUUUGCCAUAUGCAUUUUUGCCAUGCUUGUUUGAACCUGUUAAUGGAUGAUUUGGCCGUAGCUCAGUGCUAGACUUUUGUCAAGCAUCUUGAAUGCAUCCCUGCCAUGUAUUUUGUUGUCAUGUUUGGGUGCUGUAGCAUGUUCAUCUCAUUACAUUUAGAUGGCUACUUGCUGUAAAUCGCAAAACGUGGCCAUAUUUGAAUCGCUUGCCAUUUCCAAACCGUAACUCCGAUUCCAAUGUUCUUUAUAUCGUUUUGAAGCAAUUUCAUCUCAUCUUUCCAGUGGCACACUUGGAUUUCCAAGUUGAGGCCAGGUUCUUGCUUUUCCUUGUCACAUCUUGCAUAUGCAUCCCGCAUCGCAUCCCGCAUAGCAUAUCAUCUUUGCAUCAUCUUGUUUGAUCCUUGCACGUGGUUGAUUUGUGUCCUUGUUGUUUGUUUGUUUUGUUUGGGUAGAGCCAGGAGACGGGUUCGCUAACGAGGAGCCCGUUGAGUUUGCUUUCGAGGAUCCAGUCAACUCUGACAACUGUGCAGGCAAGAUGAUCAUACCCUCGAAAUCACUACUAUCUUUGCUAUGCUAGCUUGCUCGCUCUUUUGCUAUGCCAAUGCUACGAUGCCUACCACUUGCUUUCAAACCUCCCAAAUUGCCAUGUCAAACCUCUAACCCACCAUGUCCUAGCAAACCGUUGAUUGGCUAUGUUACCGCUUUGCUCAGCCCCUCUUAUAGCGUUGCUAGUUGCAGGUGCAGAUUGGAGGUCGUUCCUUGUUGGAGCAUUUAUUUACUUGUUGGGAUAUCAUUAUAUUGCUAUGUUAUUCUUAAUGCAUCUAUAUACUUGGUAAAGGGUGGAAGGCUCGGCCUCUCGCCUAGUGUUUUGUUCCACUCUUGCCGCCCUAGUUUCCGUCAUAUCGGUGUUAUGUUUCCGGAUUUUGCGUUUCUUACGUGGUUGGGUUAUAAUGGGAACCCAUUGAUAGUUCGCCUUGAUUAAAGCUUUUCUAGCAAUGUCCAACCUUGGUUUUACCAUUCGCCACCUAGCCUCUUUUCCCUUGGGUUUCCGGAGCCCGAGGGUCAUCUUAUUUUAACCCCCCCGGGCCAGUGCUCCUCUGAGUGUUGGUCCCACCGAGCGAUGUCCGGGGCUACCAGGGGCAACUCUGGGCUGGCCUACCCGACGUUUGGCUCAUCUGAGUGUGCCCUGAGAACGAGAUAUGUGCAGCUCCUAUCAGGAUUUGUCGGCACAUUCGGGCGGUGUUGCUGGUCUUGUUUUAACCUGUCGAAGUGUCUUGAAUAACCGAGAUACCGAGUCUGAUCGGAACGUCUUGGGAGGAGGUCUAUUCCUUUGUUGACCGUGAGAGCUUGUCAUGGGCUAAGUUGGGACUCCCCUGCAGGGAUUUGAACUUUCGAAAGCCAUGCCCGCGGUUAUGGGAUGGGAAUUUGUUAAUGUCCGGUUGUAGAUAACUUGAACCUUAACUUAAUUAAAAGGAAUCAACUGAGUGUGUUACCGUGAUGGCCUCUUCUCGGCGGAGUCCAGGAAGUGGACACGGUGUUGGAGUAAUGUUUGCGCAGAUUGUUCUCUAAUUUCUCGCUCGUGCUUUGCCUCCUCUUCUCGCUCUCUUAUGCGAAUAAGUUAGCCACCAUAUUUGCUAGUCGCUUGCUGCAGUUCCACAUAUAUUUACCUUGCCUUACCUAUAAGCUUAAAUAGUCUUGAUCGCGAGGGUGCGAGAUUGCUGAGUCCCUGUGGCUCACAGAUUAGUAUUACACCAGAUGCAGGGCCUGAUGAUUCCGCUCUAGGAGACGCGUUUGAGCUCAAGUGGGAGUUCGACGAAGACUCUCAACGUUACUAUGUUUCCUUUCCUGAUGAUCAGUAGUGGUGCCCAGUUGGGGGUGAUUGGGACCGUGUCGCAUGUUGGGUUAUCUUUUGUUUUGACGCCGUAGUCGGGCUAUGAGUGUUUGGAUGAUGUAAUGUUAUUUAUGUACUUGAUUGACGUGGCGAGUGUAAGCCAACUAUGUUAUCUCCCCUUUGUUAUUUAUAUUACAUGGGAUGUUGUGAAAAUUGCCUAACUUGCAACAUAUGCCUUCAAUGCGAUUAUGUCUCUAAGUCGUGCCUCGACACGUGGGAGCUAUAGUCGCAUCGAGGGUGUUACAACUGCCCUCGUUGAUUCGAAUGAUUAUCUACAAAAUCUUCAAAGGUGUUUUUCUUCAUAUCUUCACACACUAAAACACCUCACAUAUCAUCUGUUCUUGAUUCGUUUCUCUAAGCUAUGUUUUUCUUCAAGAUUCCUCAAAUGUGUGGAUUUUUGAUCUACACAUCUCUGGAACCUAAGACAAAGAACGCUUAGUGAAAUUCUUCAAGACUCAUCUGGUCAAAUUCCUCAAACUUGUUCUUUUUACAAAACCUUCUGAGAACGCAUAUGACCUCUCCAAAUUCUUCGCAACUAUACUCUGUUCACAGGUACUCAUGUCAGCUGCUGAAUCACUAGGUUCUCAUCAACUUAACUCAUUUGCAGCAUUCCUCGAAGAAAAGUUGCAUACUUCUUCAGAGAAUUCAACUGUUCAUAUUCUUUAACUGAAGAAAAUGGCUGACGGUAAGAAGCCACAAAAAGGAGGAAAGAGGACUGAGGUCAACACAGUGUUUGAGAUCCCUGAUGAUAUAGAUGUUGGGCACUGCACACCUCCUGAGAAAGACAAAAAUCAGCGCAAGGUGCACAUUCAGAAGAUAGAGAGGAGAUGGGCGAGAGAGUGGAGGGAGUACAGGUAUGUUACUCCCAAGUACAUGAAGAAAUUCGCACUCAAUUCUGCAUGCCCAAGACCUCCAUUGGCACCUGGCCAAAUAGCUGAUCCCACCAGCCUCAAGCGCGGUGAGGACUAUCCUGAUGAAUGGGCCAAGCGCCAAGCCAAGUUGGCUAAGCAAGCUAGAGAAGUAGUGAGGAAAUUCAAUAAAGACUCUGCUGCUGCAGCUGCCUCUGCUGUCAAGCCAAAGAAGGCUAUGUCAAAGAAGCCUGCACGCAAGCCAAGUGCUUCACCAACAGAGCCCUCAAGGCCAAGUUCCUCAGCAAUGCCCUCACGGCUAGAAUCCUCAAAACCCUCACGGCCAAUUCCUCAUGCUGCUCCAGUUCCUCAAAAGUCCUCAUCUCCUCCGCCAAAGUCUUCGGCCGCUCCGACAAAGUCCUCUGCACCUGUGCAUCUCGCCACAUGUCAAAGGACCACAACGUCUCUAUUGCCUCAGGAGCUUCAGCUAGUUCCUCGGCUGCACCAAAUUCCUCAACGGGACCCUCUCUACUGAAGACAAAGGCCACUGCUGGACGAGGUCCUCGCCCUAGUCCUUAGAAGAAGCAGGUCGCCUUCCAAGUGCCUUCUAAAGAAGACGAAGCUGAUGAUGAUGAACUUGCUAAAAUCAUCAGAGAUAGGCAAGUCAGGACCGCUAGAGCCAAGGGAACAAAUGUGCCACUGCUUUUGGAUCCCAAGUUGAUCCUCGAAUACAUUGACGUUUGGCACAAGGACCCCAACACUCCCAUGCCUGACUUCAAGCUGACUCCUGGCCAAAGUCACAUGCUGACUCACUUCAUUCAAGAAGAAAAAUGGAAAUUUGAGAAGGCCAGGCAGAUCAAGAAAGCACAGUAUAAGAAGGAGCGCUAUCUGAAAAAAAAUGUUGUCUCUAUGACAACUAAAGAACUUGUCACUACUCAAUCUGAGAUCAAGAAACUCAGUGAUGAAUUUGACGCACACCAUGCUGAUUGGCUUGGAGUCAAAGUUCGUUUUGUGAGACUCGUUGGUAACUUCACCUCAAAUGUUGCAGCCCCAAUGCAACAGGAAGUUCCUCAGGCUGAAGCAUCUGUUCAGCCGACUGAAGAACAUGCCAGCUUCGCUGAUGAAAAUCAGGCUGCUGAAGAAAAUGUGAGUUCCAGGGCUGAUGCAUUCCAGCUGCUGAAGAAAUUGCCAGGGCAUCCACUAGUGGUGCGCCUGAAGAAACUGAAGAAAUUAGGGAAACUACAUCAGUUGUGCCUGAAGAAAAUCAACUAGAUUCCUCUGCUCCUCCUGCGCCAACACCAACUCCGAUACCUCCAUCUGCAUCAGAUGUGAAGAAAACCAAGGCUGCAGAGCGUGCAGCAGUGAAGAAAAGGAAAGCAUCAGCUACUUCAGAUUCUUCAGCUCCGAAGAAGAUGAAGCCUUUGACCAGUUCAUUUGCUAAUCUCAUUGAUGUUGUUCCAAUCUCAACCAUGCCAUCGAAGGACCUUGUUCUUUUUGAUGAAGAAUAUGUGAUCCCCAGCGGAUCUGAUGAAUAAACUCCUUCUGCUGCUUCGUCUGAGCAGUUGGAUGAAGAAAUUGAAGUGGAUACGAUCCCUUCAACACCUGUCAUCUCCUCGCCCAUGCCUCAGUUCACAGCUGAAGAGGCUGGCGUUGAAGAAAUGGAAGAUGAAGAUGUGUACGUUGGCUGCUCCACACCAGUAAUAAGUGAUGAAUUCUGGGAAAGUCAGCAUCCAAACUCUCCAAUGCUCACAUCGUUGCAGCAAAUACCUCAGUCACCUGCACAAACUGUUCAAAUGGGCUCUGAAGAAACUCACCCCACUUCAUCUGUGCGUGAAGAAAUUCCAGCCACUAGUGCUGAAGAAACUGCUGCUGCUGAACAUCUGAAGACACAGACUGUCAGUGAAGAGAAACCAGAAAUUUCUCAGCCUGAAGAACCUGAGAUUGCGAUUCCUGAGGUCGUGAUGCAACUCACUGACACUCCUCUGCCCAAACCAAAGGAUCCAUUCUCGCGCAAGCAAAAGUUCAAGGCUGAUGAUUUCUUCGGCGAGCAUGUAUUCUUCGAAGACUACAACCCUUAUAACUCUGCUCGCAUUAGGAAGAGGCGUUUCUGGACUGCUAGUCAAGCCAAUUUCUAUUCCUCAGUGCUGUUCAACAAAGAGAAAAUCUUCUACCAUGAGCAUAUUCCUCACGUGGAUAUGGAAUCUCUGUCAUGCUUCGCACCAGUCCUCAGUGUUCUUCACGACACUGGACUGUUAAAUUUUUGCUCUGACAUCUAUGAUUGGAAUGAAGAACUAAUUCUUCAAUUUUAUGCAACGCUGCACAUCACAGGAGAUUCUGAAGAUGUGAAUUCAUGGGUGCUAGACUGGAUGUCUGAAAACACUCACUACACCGCACCAGCGUCUGAAUUGCUUCGUGCCUUACCACUCAGUCCUCCCCUUGAAGAAGCUCGUUGCAUCUACAGUGAACCUGAGCUUACAAAUCACUACAUGCAGGUUCUGAUGAAACCUUUGAAGCCAGGUCAGGCCCCACGAACCAAAUUCCUCGUGAAGGAAUUACUCUAUGUGCCCAGAACUGUCUAUCGUAUUCUUACGAGGACAAUGAGUCCUAUCAAAGGCCACGACUCAUCUGAUAAGGAAAUUGUUGGCAUCAUGAAGAAUCUGGUAUUCAACAUCGUACAUGGCAUUUCUGUCAAUUAUCACGAUUUCUUCAUGAGGACUCUGGCAAAUGUUGCACUGUCUCCGUUUGAGCUGAAGCCUUAUGCACCUUGGAUUAUGAGAUUCCUCAGGACAAGGUCUUCACUCAACUACAAAGCUGAUUUUCAGAAUCACCUCAGUUACUUGCCCCCAAUUGAAGUCCUCAAGCAGACCUAUUCCUCAGUUGAUGAAAAGGGCAAGGACCAAUUGUUAUAGAUGAAGGCAUUCGUUCAUUGGAUGGUCGGUUUCGCAAAGCUGCCUCUUAUUCCACCAAUGAUGACUCUGCCACACAUGACUCUGGCAAUGCAUCCAAGUCUACUCCUCAAGCCACUGCUCCUCGUGUGAUGACUGAUCGUGAGGUUCUGCUUAGUCUUCACCAGAAGGUGGAUCAAAAUCAUAAAUGGGUUAAGCAUCAGUUUGGUUCAUUUCUUCACAACAUGACUGCUACACACAAUGCAGUGAAGAAAAACCAUUACUACCUCCAUGAAGUCUUCGGUCGCACCUGGGCAAUACUGCCAUAUCUAUAUGGUGAAGAAGAUCUGAAGAAAAUGGGUCUCAAGGAAGAUUUUGACUGGUCUGAACCUCCACCGAAGAAAUUCAAGAAGGACAAGGUUCCUUCUCUGGUGGCCAGCUCAUUUUAUUCAUCGCGCGACACUGAUGAGAAUGAAGACUUGGAUGACACUACGGCAGGCCCUACUACGACAAACGACCCCAACAACGCUGGUGCUCCUUCAUCAACUUGAUAUUCUUCAGGGGCGUUAGUCCUCAUAUUCGAUCCUUUUGGUCACUUGAUGACAAAGGGGGAGAAUUUUGAGUUAGUUUUCAAGCGGGUCUUUCUAUAUGGGCGUUUUUUUCAAGUUACAAAUCUCGUUCUUCUGAGACUUUAUUGGAUCGAGUUGUAAACUUAAACCCGAUGUUGCUCUAAUACUCUUGAGACAUUUUUUCUGCAUGCUUAUUCCUUGUUAAUAUUAUUGCACGCAUGCUGAAUUACAUCAGUCACCAUAUUUCAUCAUGCAUUUCAAAUUCUUCACUGUUAUAUGUCAAAUGCGUGUAUGAAUUACAAGAUAUAGGAGGAGAUCUCCAUGAUUCAACUCUUCAAGUGUGCAUUACUUCAAAAGCAAAUUCCUCACUAUGCACAUAUUCGGGAGGGGGGGUCUUCUAUAUCUUGCAAUCAAAUUUCUCAAUAUCAGUAUUUACACUUCAUAUGUUUAUCCUCAUUGAAAACUUAACCUAUAUUGUCAUCAAUCACCAAAAAGGGGGAGAUUGUAAGUGCAUCUAGUGCCCCUUAGUAAUUUUGGUGUAUUGAAGACUUAUAGGUUAAGGGACUAAUGCAUUUAUGAGUGUACACAGGUCUAUAAGUCUAUGAAGAGUUUGAUAUUUACAGAGAAAGUCGACCCCUAAAAAUGAAGUUCUUUGACUGAAGACUUUGGCUUUCUGAAGACUUUGAAAGUGAAGAAAUUGGUGUGACCUUGAAGACUUCGUAUUCAUUCGAGGAACAUGAAGCGUGAAGACUUUUGUUUUCGUAGUUUUAUUUUCUCUUUCUUGAGUCAUAGGAAACAUCGUACUGUUAAAGGGGGUCGAGGAAAUACUAAGAAAAUAUUUUCAUGUGAUGCUCAACUCAAAAUCUUACACCUACCAAUCCCUUCGAGUGAAGCCAUUGGAAAUCUCAUAUAGUCUAGUCAUAUUCUUCAGUGACAGAGUAGAAGUUCUUAUGAUCUCUCAGGAAUUUAUUCUGACUGGGGAGUUAGGAAUUCGCCAGUGCGGAUUGCCUACACAGUGAGGAACAUGAUAGCCCUGGGAAUUUUGCUACUCAAAAUUCCGAUCAUUGAUGUGCUAUGCGCCAGCUGUCCCAAAAUAUCUACCCACCUAACGGUCAUAUCAUUAAAGGGCAUUUAUGUCUUAUCAUGUCGGGCUGCUCCCUGGGCUAUAAAUAGCCGCCCCCUACAACCACUAGCUGGUUGGCUGCUCCGAGAGAAACUGACACUUGUCAUUUGAGAGCAACCCAUCCUCUGAGGACUUUGAGCGAAAAUCAUCAAGUUAGGAAAAACCCAAACACCUACAAACCCCAAGUGAUUGAGUAUCACUGAAGAGAUUGAUCCUGUGUGGAUCCGACGCUUGUUACCUUUGAAGACUGUGCUUCUUCCAGACGGUUAGGCGUCAUGGUCUAGAGCAUCCAAGAGGAAUUGUGGAUCACCGAGUGACCAAGUUUGUGAAGGUUUGGAAGUCGCCUGAAGACUUACCACGAGUGAUUGGGCGAGGUCUGUGUGACCUUAGCUCAAGGAGAAUACAGUGAGGACUUGGUGUCCUGAGCUACGUGCUCAGGACUGGGUGUCCGGGACUAUGUGUCCUCGAGUUUAAAUACUCAACCGCUCCAACCAGAUGUACAACUGAGACAGCAGUUCGAACUGGUCUACUAAACCGUUGUCUUCAUCAAGCUUACUGGUUCUAUUUCCUCAACUCUUUCAUUUCCUUGUUGUGUGCUUGUUCAUAUCUGUGUUUGAAGACUUUGACUGAAGACUUUCUCAAUUUCCUUAGUUCAAUUUCUUCAGUCUAUUUGUCUUCAUCUUGUGUUAUCAUGUGCUUACGCUUCAUGUACUCUGUGCCUGUCGUCAUUUCAUCAUGAUGACUAUGCUUAUGUUCUGUUAUGUUUACUUUUGAGUACUUAUUCCGCUGCUAGUAGUUCUUCGCUAAGGAAUUUCCUCACCGGCAAAUUCCUCAGUGAAGAAUUUCAUAANNNNNNNNNNNNNNNNNNNNNNNNNNNNNNNNNNNNNNNNNNNNNNNNNNNNNNNNNNNNNNNNNNNNNNNNNNNNNNNNNNNNNNNNNNNNNNNNNNNNNNNNNNNNNNNNNNNNNNNNNNNNNNNNNNNNNNNNNNNNNNNNNNNNNNNNNNNNNNNNNNNNNNNNNNNNNNNNNNNNNNNNNNNNNNNNNNNNNNNNNNNNNNNNNNNNNNNNNNNNNNNNNNNNNNNNNNNNNNNNNNNNNNNNNNNNNNNNNNNNNNNNNNNNNNNNNNNNNNNNNNNNNNNNNNNNNNNNNNNNNNNNNNNNNNNNNNNNNNNNNNNNNNNNNNNNNNNNNNNNNACAACUUAUAGUGUGCUAGUUUCUUUUUACCUUCAUAUGGUGUGCUAUUAGCAUAGUAGUUUUUUUAUUUUCAAGUAUUUCGUAGUAGUUAGGCGCUGGCUAGGCAACUAGGGCGCUGGCCAAGCAGAUGUGCAGCGCGGCAAACAUCAACGAAAUGUAAGCGAGCCGUUCAUACCAGCUUUAAAUGCGCCCAGGAGGCACAUAGUGUUCAUUCGGGAGCGACUACAAUAGAAGAAGGGUCAUGGGUGCAAAAAUAGAAAAACAUAUCUGAGCCACUGGAUCGUAGGUGGAUGGCACAAAUUUUGAUGAAAGGAUCUCAUCCACUUAUGUAUAUUUUAUGAAAAAACCCUACUAGCAAUUAGUUCUAAAACAAAACUUUUGCAGUAAUCACCUCAAGUAUUUCAUCUCUCUCCAUUCAUUUUGUCCAACGACCCCAAAUAUUUGGGGUGAUAUUUCAUCUCGCCUACUAGCAAUUAGUUAUAAACAAAAUUUGCACAGUGAUGAAGCCCCAUAAAAUCUUUGCACGUAUCUACUUUAUGAAAACCAUGCAUAUUUCAGUAUUCAUAUAUGGUUGUCACUGCAAAGCCACCCUUUGAAGCUGAAUAUGGUUGUCACUGCAAAAACAUGCACAUUUCAGUGGCUUGUACUCCAUCACUAAUUAUGCAAAAAGAAGUUGAAUAUGAUUGUCACUGCAAAGCCACCGUUUGAAGCAUAACUAACAUCAGACUGGACCAUCCCGGAUUGAGCAUAUCACAAGCAUACAUAUCUUGAUGAGACAUGGUAGCAUCAUUUUUAGUACAUGGCCAACAAGACAGAGUAAAUAUGAUCACCACUCAACAUGCAUUGCUAUUUAAAACGAUAAGCUCUACUAUCUUGAUGGUCAUAAUAGAAAAGCUCUAGCAUUCCCCUCCAGUUCUACCACUUCUUGCUCAUAAGCUUCUUGUUCUGGGAGAGGUCACACCAAGCAAACACGAUUCAGUUGAGCACAGACACGUACAGAUGCAUAAUCAAAAAACACAGUUAAAUAUAUCUUCCAUAGAAAUUCUCUCAAUCGUCAGAAAGGGAAGACUUUGAUAAAAGCUUCUUAUAUCCAUCUGCGGUCUUGAUGUUUCCGGUUGUCAGGGCAUCAUGCAUCUACAAAUACAAGGAAAAAAAUAUACUUUACAUUACAAGGAAAGAAAUAGGAAAUUAUGUUCUCUAAUCCUGAUCGUGUAUAUGUAUUGAACAAUUAAUAAUGCAAUUCAAGUUCUUUUGCUAACUCAUAGAUGACAAAAGUAAAACCUUGAUGCUGCAGCACAGAGGCACAUGUCAGACCACUGAAGAGAAACUUACUUACGAAGCCUUUUAUCCCAAACAAGUUGGGGUAGGCUAGAUAUGAAACCCUUUCACGAGGACUUCCCAGGAGGUCACCCAUCCUAGUACUACUCUCGCCCAAAUGGGUUUCAUACCCAAAAGAUGGCUAGUUUUUAUGUUGGCUCGCCAAGCCUAUCACAACCCUUAGAUAUGAAACCCUUUCACGAGGACUUCCUAGGAGGUCACCCAUCCUAGUACUAUUCUCGCUCAAAUGGGUUUCAUACCUAUGGGACUGGCUAGUUUUUACGUUGGCUCGCCAAGCCUAUCACAACCCUCCUCCUUUACCCGGGCUUGGGACCGGCUAUGCCUAGAAGACAUAGGCGGAGUUAGACCACUGAAGAGAAAACGAAAAGAAUAUCGUACGACAAAAUAUAUUUACAAUUUGACAAUGACUGAUCAAUUGUAUCUAUUUUCACAGCUCGUCAUCCCAAUAAGACUUGCAUACAACUUACGACCGGCUAUACUGAUGUAUUGAUAUUACAUUAUAAGUUUUAUGGCUCAAUGGAUGGUUAGCAACCGAAGGACUAUCCCAAGUCAAGCCCAAGUAGGUCAAAACAAUCAGCCAUUUACUCCCUCCAAUGGACAUUUCCUGCUAAUUAUAUCCUGUGACCUAAUAUUGCCUUAGUGCACACAUAUUUGCUGACAGCAGCACUACAAGUGCAGGCCACAAUGUUUUGCAUGUGCACUGAAGCUGUUGGUUUCCACUCCUGUAAAGCGCCUCUUAUUGGUCAGGUACUUUUAAUUUAGCACCAAAGACACAAAGAAAUGGUGAUUUUGUGGUAAUAUGAGUAUAAACAAUACCAUUUGUUUGGAAGGAAAAUUAUAGACAAAUUCUAUACUGGACAGAGAAGCCACUGGAAAAUUUAAUCACUCCAGAGCAGUCAUGGGUUCGAGAAGAAUAAUAUUACCUAUGACCAGUAAACCACAAAGAUAGCCUAAUGAUGGACAUACAAUAAUGGCAAAGAAAUUCAAUAAGAAGCAUUAGUGAAUUAAUCUCUGCAGACGAGGUAGCAUCGCUGAAAUCUUGAUUUUGAGCACUACUAUUGACCGAUUCCACGACUGCAAACAAAUAUUCAGCAAAAAACACCAAAGAAGGGAUUAACGGAAAAUUAGGUAAUGACAAAAUUUUCUUGCCUUUCUGGACUAUAUCUUCUCACCUGGUAGUGUUGGUAUAAAUUUUGCAAUUACUGGAACUGUGGGCUCUCCUGAAGGCUAUGUCUCACUACUUCCCUCCAUUUCAGUUCAAGAUGCAACACCAAAACAGCGGAGAACAAACUUAGUACUAGUUGAAGAGCUUCGAUCUAUCCGUCGUACGCAGAGAAGAAAUUGAGAAAUCAGCCCCAAUUCCAAGAUUGUAAUGUUAAGGUUGCAAACUAAAAAGAUAUACAGAAAGAGAGUCUUUUCUACAUACAAAAGGUGAAAAAGUUGCCAUUGUUCUUUUUGCAAUCGUAGUAUCAUAAAAGCUACAUGAGGAAAACCAAAGAGCUAGUAUAAUUGUUUCACCAAACCAAAUUUGUCAUGAUUGUAGUUUCAAUGACAUUAUACUGGAAAAAUAGAUAUUGAACUCUCAGAAAUCAGUGAAGUGGCACAUAUUGCAAGUGUAACGAAUUUCAGUCUUGUGCCUGCAAGCACUUCACAUGCAGGUAAUUUAAUAGGUAGAUGAGAUUAGUUUGUUCCCAUGUACAAUAUCCGAGAAGAGGAUGAAAUUUCAAAAUACAGAACUGCUCGAAAAUCUAGUAAAAGCAUAGCAAGCUUGUCCAGUGAUUAAUAUUUAUGUUCAUGGAUACGAGAGAUAUCCAAUGUUUUAAAUAGCAGGCUAUGGCAUAUAGCGGCGACCCUUAAAAACAGCUAUAGCUGAGCUAUAGCGGGCUAUAGCGAGGCUAUAGCGGCAAAUUGUGCAUGAAAUCAUUUAGCGGCAACAUGCUCAAACAGCUAUAGCGGAGCUAUAGCGGGGCUAUAGCCGGCUAUUUAAAACUAUGGAGAUAUCCCUGUUAUUCCUAUCAAGUUGAAAGAAACCAUAUCCCAGCAGCGCAUGAACUAGCUGCUCAGUCAAAAAAUUUAAGUAAGCAGACAUUAUAUUUUUUGUUAUGGCUAAUCAACACCGAAUCUUUCCAAAUUAACUGAAUUUGGUACUCAAAUUAGCUUAGCCAGAAUCACAGGCAUCGAAUGCCCCAACAUAAUCUAAACAUGUACUACUAAUUUCCACCAUCUCAACAAUGUCCUGAUUUAGAUUUAUGGCAUAGGCAUACGGUCUCCCCUAGGCAUACCGACAGAAGAUGGGACAGUGGCUGUUGUCCUCACGCUUCAGAAACCAUCCCAGUGAAAAUUUGUUUCCCAAACCAAACGAUACAACCACCCAAGGAGCUAAGAAGCUCCGGGAUCAAGAUGGAAGAACGUGGGCGCGGGCGGAGUCGAGUACCUGCCGAGGGCGCGGAGGUCGUCGAAGUGGCGGUGCAUGGAGACCUCCUCCUUGGCAACAACACCCUCGUUCCUCUCGAUGCGCUGUGCGGCGGCGCGCUGGCGGUGACGAAGAGCAGAGUACUUGUCCGCACAGGGGAGGUCUGUCGAGGCAGCCAGGAAGCCGACAAGACGGUCGGGUGCUGGAUCUGGACCUCCGCUGGGCGCAGUCGCCCAGCUAGCCACCGGAUCUGGCCCGCCGCCACCGUCGGCAAGCCCUUGCUAUCGCCCAGCUACACAUUGGAGGAUUUUGGGUCUGCAUUGUUGCGUUCUUAGGAAGGAG